rnacentral:lncRNA from 1 species
AAGUUGUUGUGACUUGUCUGGUGACAGAGUUGGUAAAUUAUACGGAAAGGGGGAAGCCAUUUGAGAUGAUCAAUAUAUCAGUUGUUAAUCCAUCAUGCUGUUUUAUACCAUGUUUUGAUAUUUGCAUCUCUCUUUUGUGACUGUUCAACUUAAUUAAAUGUGUCGAUCUAAUAAAGCUAUUGUUUGUGCUUUUCCACCCUCACAUAUAUUCUCUGCUAUAUAUCAUCAAUCGUUGCGUUUCUCUUUUUCAUCUUUCAUUUAUGUUGAGUGUGUGUACUAUGGGGGAGUUUGCCUGCCUGCUCGGAUUCGGAAAUCAAGUUAUAACGUAUAAUAUUGUCGAUGUUGGUUUACGACUUAUAAGACUAACUAUUAGUGUAGGGAUUUGUGUAGUCAUUGGGUAAUUUUUGAGAAAUAAAAGUGUUGUGUUAUUUUCUUGUAUUAUUGUUUCAAAACAUUCAUCAACUUGAAACAAAAUUAAAUUUCUUGUUCUGGUUUCUAUUUUCAGUUUUCUACAAACUUUUACGAAUUUAUUACAACAUCAUCUAGAAACUUAUACUAAAUACACUCCAAAUUAUUGAUUUUAUCCUCGUAAUUUCAAAUAACGGAAUUGUAUCAUAUGACAACAAAAUUUAGAAAAAAACUGUUUAUAAUACAUCAUUUUUGUAUAUUGCGAAUAUGAUAAGUAAUUAAUGAUAUCAAACCGCCAUCAGAUGUCUCAAAUAAGAUCUGAAUUCAAGAGUAUUUAGCUGGAACUAUUAAUUUGGUAUCUAGCAAGUGAUUAAAAUCUAUCAAUAAUAAAACAUAAUAGUCUUUGCACAGAAUUUCUUAUAUAAUAAAUAAGACAUUAAAUUUUAAAUUUAAUCAAAUAGUGUCAAAUAGGUGAAGGACCAAGUUUUAAAGGUUACUUACUAAUUAAACACAAUAGUUUUUGACUUUUGUCAUAAAUAAAUGUCAAAUAGGUGAAGGACCUACUAAUUGUAAAAUUUUGAAGCUUAAUAACUAAUUAAACACAAUGAAAAGUUUUAUAGGCCUUUUAAAGUUUGGAAAUUCAUUUGACAAAGGUUUAAUGUUGGAGACUACAUUUAUUAUCUAAUUAAAAACAAUUUUGUUUUCUUUGAAAAAUCAUUCUACUUAUACCUAAAUUCUUUAACUUGCAAUAAAAAAAACAAUAUAUAUAGUAGACAUGCAAAUUAAAACAAUUUUGCUUUCAAAAUAUUAAAAAUGAAAAAACAAUAGGUUAUAAUUGUGAUACCUUUUUCCAUUGAUUUGAUAUGUCAAUGCAACAAAAUCUCUAAGUCUAUUAUUGUACUCUUUUAUAUAUUUUGAUAUGUUGGUUGGUUAAAUUGGUACUUCCAAUAUUGACUUCUAUAUCUGCCCACUGCUCUACUCUACCAUUGGGACCAACCUCUCUGCUCCAUUUCUGACUAAAAAAUCUUCCUUCAUUCAAAACACUAAACUCCAUAUUCUACUUCAAGAAAUCAAUCCCUUACCAUGGGGAUUUUUAAAAAAAUUUAUUUAUGAUGUGAUUUAAUCGUAAGCUUUAAACCCUAGCCAUGAUUUUUGCAUCUACCCAGGUUUGAGGUUUAAUUUCUUUUCUUUCUAUUGAAAAAACAAAUGUUGAUCAUAUUUGCCCUGAAAGUAAAAUUCGACACGACCUCGGUACUAGAUCAUGUGUGCACUUUUUAAAAAAUUAGAGAAAAGAAUAGGGUUUUGCAUAGAACACCCUUAUUUUUUUUUUACCAAAUAUAUACAUAUAUAAUAGUUAUUAAAAUUAAAAAAUAAAAUAAAAUAACAAUAGUAGAAUGAUGGUCAUUUCCAACAUUAAAUACAAUUGAGCAGACAUCUUCAAAAAUCUCAAUUAUUAAGAGAUAUAUAUCCUUCUUUUCUUCUUAGAUUGGAUCAAAUUAUAAGAACAUAAUAAUACUUUUUUUAGUUAACAACCAUGAAUAUGAAAUUAUUGAUCUUUGAUAGUUAAUGUCUUUUCUCUUUUUUAGCACUUAUUGGUUGAGUUAUGUGGUGAUGAUAAUGAUAAAUUUCAAAAACCAAUUUGGUUGACAUAAACAGCAUUUUUUCAAAAACUAAUUAUUGUUGUAAUUUGGGUAAAUACGAUAAUAUUAUAUUCACAAAUUUAAGAAUUAAAAAUAGCGGGAGUUUUGAGAGAGGGAAAGAGGAGAGGAUGAUGGAGAGAAAAAGAUGGGGGGAUGCCAUUAACAAAGCGCAACCCCCGGGUGCUGGUUUCUAUAUAUAUAUAUGAUCUUCACUUUAGCUUUUCUCUUCAUUCAUCAUAAUCUCUUCAUUCAUUCUCGGUUCAACUAUCUGGGUUUUUCUCUAAUUUGUUUUUGAAAUGUAUUCUCACCAGGUAUUUGUUCUACACCGAAUCUUCAUCAAGUUUUUUCAUUUGGUUUUCGGAUUUGAUCUUUUGAAUUCUUUCGCCUAAGUUUUUUUCAAUCUGUUAUUUUCUUAAAAUGCGGCAGCGACCUUCAAGUGCUUUCGACACUCCCUUCUGGACUACUAAUUCUGGUGCUCCAGUAUGGAACAAUAACUCUGCCUUGACCAUUGGAUCCAGAGGUAAACAAUUUGUUUUAGCAAGCUGAUUAAGCUAUAGAUGAGAUUGAGAAUACCAAACAUUGUUGUGGUUAUUGUCAUUUGUAUUUGAAUUAAGAUUAUUGAUGAUGAAUUAAUAUGCUUGAAAAUAGGACCUAUACUCCUAGAGGAUUACCAUCUUGUGGAAAAACUGGCUAAUUUUGAUAGAGAGCGGAUCCCAGAGCGUGUUGUUCAUGCUAGAGGAGCUAGUGCCAAAGGGUUUUUUGAGGUGACUCAUGAUAUCACCCACCUUACUUGUGCUGAUUUUCUUCGAGCCCCUGGAACUCAGACUCCAGUUAUUGUUCGUUUCUCCACUGUUAUCCACGAGCGUGGAAGCCCUGAAACGCUCAGAGAUCCCCGAGGUUUUGCUGUUAAGUUCUACACCAGGGAGGUAGUUAACGUUGUUAUUGCUUUAUGCUUUAUUGGUUCUACAUUAUCUUAUAAUUUCAAGACUUGAUGACAUUUAUAUAUUAAAAAGAAGCACAAGAUUGCGAUGACAGAUAUGAUUUUGGUAAUGAAAUUUUUAUCAGUUUAUUAGAUUAUAUGCCAUCACAUUCCAUCAGCAGGAUGUACAUAAUAUUUAUAUUUGUUUGUGCUGGAACAUUAAAUAUGGGAUUUGAUUCUAUUAGCUUUCAUUUGCUUAGAUGUAAAAUGUAACUACACGCUUUGAUCAAGCUUUGUUAUAUGACCUGAUUCAUGGUAAUGCAACAUUCAAGCGUCCUGUUUUCUUUCUCUCUAGGGCAAUUUUGAUCUUGUGGGCAACAACUUUCCUGUAUUUUUCGUCCGUGAUGGUAUGAAAUUUCCAGACAUGGUACAUGCUCUCAAACCGAAUCCCAAGUCCCAUAUCCAGGAGAAUUGGAGAAUCCUCGACUUCUUUUCUCAUCAUCCUGAAAGCCUACACAUGUUCACAUUUCUAUUUGAUGAUCUUGGUAUCCCACAAGAUUACAGGCACAUGGAUGGUUCAGGUGUUAACACUUAUACUCUGAUUAAUAAGGAAGGGAAAGUACACUAUGUGAAGUUUCAUUGGAGGCCUACCUGUGGAGUCAAGACUUUGUUGGAUGAAGUAGCUAUCCGUGUUGGAGGAAGUAAUCAUAGCCAUGCUACUCAGGAUCUCUAUGAUUCAAUUGCAGCUGGCAACUACCCUGAAUGGGAGCUUUACAUUCAGACUAUUGACCCUGAUCAUGAAGAUAAAUAUGACUUUGAUCCUCUAGAUGUAACCAAGACUUGGCCCGAGGAUAUCUUGCCCUUGCAGCCAGUUGGCCGCUUGGUUUUGAAUAAGAACAUUGAUAACUUCUUUGCAGAGAAUGAACAAUUGGCCUUUUGUCCUGCCAUUAUAGUACCUGGAAUCUACUAUUCAGAUGACAAAUUGCUUCAAACUAGGAUAUUCUCCUAUGCAGAUACUCAGAGGUAUCGUCUUGGACCAAACUAUCUCCAACUCCCAGUUAAUGCACCUAAGUGUGCUUAUCACAACAAUCACCAUGACGGUUUCAUGAACUUUAUGGAUCGAGAUGAAGAGGUAUUUCAUACUUAUUUUUUCCUGUCUUGUAUCUAAAAGUGGGAAUAUUUGUAGUAUUUCAUGUGCAUAAUUUUAGUUAAUCUGCAUUUCAUGGCUUAGCAUUUAAGAAGUAUAGAUACAAAUACAUCAUUGCAUGGACACAAGAACACAUCAUCUUUUAAAAAUUCAUAAUAACGGAGGACACAUUUACUGAAAUAUAUUUAAUUUUCUACUCGAAGAAAAUUAGUAAAUGAAUUGAGGCAUUUAUAUGCUUAAACAAAUUAGUUUAAUGCAUUUCACAUUCAAAAUUUCUUAUUUUGUCAUUUACGUGUUGUUUAGUGUACUCAACCAGAGUUUUGUGCAUGCCAACACAUUUGUUGGACUGACAAGUAUUUGCUAGGGAUGGACACGGAAGUGGCCAUGGUUGUUAUGCACAUUGAGCAGGCCCAACUUCUUGGUAAUUUGAUUUUUAUGGUAUUUUUCUUUGUUUUUCAGAUCAAUUACUUCCCUUCAAGAAUAGAUCCGACUCGCCAUGCCGAGAGGUAUCCUCAACCAUCUGCUGUUUACACAGGAAAGCGCGAGAGGGUCAGUGAUCAAUAUAAGUAUCUUUUGAAUGUUUCAACAUUAACUCCUUUUUGCCUUCUUUUAGAUUAACAAGUAUUCUAACCUUUUGAAAUUCGUAUUGCUAAAUUUAGUGUGUAAUUGAGAAGGAGAACAACUUCAAGCAGCCUGGAGAGAGAUACAGAUCUUGGCCAUCAGACAGGUAACUUUUUGAAUUUGUCUACAUUUUUGUAUAUAUUUUGAUCAUGUAACUGGAUUUGUUUGCUCGUUUGUUUAUAAAUGCCAGGCAAGAACGAUUCGUGGGUAGAUGGGUGGAUGCAUUAUCCGACCCUCGUGUCACCCACGAGAUCCGUAACAUCUGGAUUUCUUACUGGUCCCAGGUGUGUGAUGCUGUAUAGAUAUUAUGUGAAGUUGUGUAUGGAGGGAUUGUUUGUGAAAUAGAAUUAAUGGUUUGUUUUGAAUAGGCGGACAAGUCUCUGGGCCAUAAGCUUGCAUCUCAUUUCAAUCUGAAGAUAAACACUUGAAGGUACUAUUCACUUGUUCUGUAUGUUAUACGAAAAUGGGAGAAGCGAUUUGAGAUCUCAUGAAUCGGAUGCAGAUAUUAAUCCAUACUGUUUUAAUUUAUAGCAUCUUUUCAUAUUUGCAUAUCUCUCUCAUGUAACUAUUGGACUUAAAUACGUCCAAAUCUAAUAAAAAUAAAUAUUUAAGUUACUUAAUGCCAAAGUUAUUUUAUUAUAGCUCGCCACCUGACAAAUUCUUCUUAUAUAUUUCUUUAAAUAUUUUAAUUUCUUUUGUGUAAGAUAAGAGAUGCAUAGAAAUAAAUGUAUUUUGAUAUGUAAUCAAACUAUUCAUCAUCUAAUAAAGUGUUAUUUUAUUUGUGUACAAUUCUUUUCUUUUGUGUUAUGCUUUUAUUUCAAAAUUAGGUUGCUCAGUUUCAAGAAAUUUAGUCAUAAAUGAAAUAACUAUGUGAAGUUUUAUUUAAAAAAUAAGUAUGGAUUUGGGCCUUCCUAGAAAAAACAAUUUUAUUAAAUUCUCUUCUCUAAUUAUUUUUUAAAAAAUUUAAAAUGUUACCUAAAAAUUACUCUUCAAAAUUUGGAGACUAGAAAGAUAGUGAGACUAUUAGCUAUAAACAUUUGGGAUUUAUUACCUUCAAUCAAAAAAAUACAAAAUAAAAAACUUUGUUAAAGGGCUAAACUUAUAAUUCUAAGUCAAACAAUUUUUUUUACCUCAAUCAUCAUUCGGUUAUAUAUAUAUUUAUUUUAAUUUAACGUGUAGAAGUGGAAAUCUAUACGUCUAAAUUUUGUAUUUAAAGAUAUAAUUUUUCAACUAAUUGAACUAUGUUUAAAUUGUUAAUUCGACGUUGGAUGGGAUGGUAUGGCAUUGGGUAAGGUGUCACGUAAUUUUCUUUUUUAAAGAAUUUGUUUGAAAACUUCUCUUGACGUGCAAAUUACCACAAAUUUGGUUGCUUUUAAGUAUUUGAAUAAUAACGAAUGGGGGUGUAAUUUUGAAAGAGAAAGGGGACUUUAUUUUAUUCUUUGAAUUAAAAAGAAAGAAAACUUUUGUUUGAUUUGAUGUAUGUAUUAUGUAAUGUAAGAAAAAGAAUUAAAGGCCACUAUUUGUUUACAAAUUUGGGUAUGUUUAUCUAUUGGUUAGUGGGAUUUUUCUCAAAAAUUGACUUCUACUUCUGCUCAUUACUUCAUCAUUAGGACCAACCUAUUUUUCCCUUUCUUUCCUUUUUUCUCUCUCAAUAUUCAAUUAAUACAAUUUCUUCCAAAAUUUUAUUUUUCUUCAUUUUAUGUCCCAGUUAUAAAAUUGUAAAAAAAAAAAAACUAGAAUUUUUGACAAAAAUGUUUCAAUAAAUUUUGUUUUCUAGUAAUUUUAUUACGUGGUAAUUAGUUUGACAAAUUUUUCCACUUUUGAAAAAAUUCUUAUAUUUAAUAAUAAUUAAAAAAAUAUUUGACAAAAUAUCUAAGAUUUAUAGAAAAAUUAAAAGGUAAAUAAAAUUUGACUCUUGUUAAUUUUUUUCUAUUUUUGAAAAAUUCUUUUUAACUAUUAUUUUUGUACUUUUAGUUUCUUUUUAAUUAUUCAUGCUCUAUAAUAUGUUGUCAAUUCUACACCUUUUUUCAAUUCUUAUAAUUAAGAUGUUUAAUUAGUCUUCUCAUAUAAAAUAUUUUCUUUAAAAUUAACUAAAAACAAUUUUUUUUUUUUUGAGUAAAAAGAGAAAAAUGGGUUGAGGAAAAAUUUGUGGCCCAUUUUAAAAGACUUAAUUUUCAAGGCCCUCAUUUUCUUUAAAAAGCAAAUCUUACUUCUUAAUUAAAGGAAAAUGAAAGGGUGACAAAGAUGGAUUGCAAGGGGUCCCUAAACACAAAUGCAUUGUAAAACUGGGUAUCUAUUUAUCCAACUUUUUAAAUAAUAAUUGAUAUCUUAUAAUCUAUUUAAUUAAGGAUGAUGAUGGUAAUGACAUAUUUUAUUCUAUAUCGUGAAAACUAAAUAGAAACUAACUAUAAUGAGCUUGAAUUAUAAGAAGGAUAGAUUUUUCUCACCUAAAUUUUUACGAAGUUGUCGAUUUAGUUUAUUUGUAAUUUGGUAAGAUAUGAUUUAUUUAAACCUUAAAAAUUAUCUGCCAAUUAGCCUUUUAAAGAAAACCCUCGACUCUAUAUAUUUUCAUAUUUACUAUUUUAUGAAGUAUAAAUUGCAACCAUAUAUAAAUAUAAUUCGUGAGAUUUAACAAAAUCACAUAAAUGGAAACUUCUUAAAUUGGUUAAAUUGAAGCCAAAACUUAACUAAAGUAUUGUUAAUACCAAUACCUGUUUUAUCUUUUACUCUUUUUUUUUUCACAUCAAUUACUUUCGAAUAAUGUCAUCUCUAAUCCAAAAUUUAAAAACUUGAUAUUUGAGUUUUAAAAAAUGUUCCACUUUGAAAACUCGAGACUAGAAUACAUAUGUUUCGAGAACACACAAGCCAAACACGAACGUUCAAAAAAUAUAAUCUUUUAAAAAAGUACUUAUCAUGCGCAUAAAUUAAGUCGUUCGUAAAAUGAUGAGAAAUAAAGGUUAUUAAUUAUUCUAUGCAUGGUAUAACUUUUGGUCGACCAUGCAUAUGUUUUCAUCGAUAUUUCUACAAAAUUCCACGUUAAGAUGGGAAAUUAAUUAGAAAAUGAAUUUAGGUUAGUAGGGUGUAAGAAAUUAAAAGUAGUUUUGAGGAGAGGUUGUUAAGAAGGAAGAGAAGAAAGAAAAGAGAAAGGUUUUGGUUGAAGGGAUAGAUGAGAAUGAGAAAGAGAGAAUAAUUUAUGAGUGAAAAUGUUAAAACUCCAAAGCCGCCUUGUUUUUGAGUGUCUCAUCAGAGGAAGUAUGAGAAAUUCAAAUGGGACUAAUGGAAUGGAAUCAGAGAAAGGUGUGGUGAGGUUACGUUCUUACCCUCACUUUGAUUCUUCCAAAUUCUCUGUUGGUCCCUUUAACACACAGUUGUCUCUUUUGGUCAAUCAAAUGAGAGGUUUUUAAAUCACUUAUCCCCACACACACACACAUAUAUCAUAUAUAUCAUAUAUAUGGUAUAUAAAACAAACCACAAUCCAGCAUUAUCAUGUCCACCACCCCCUCCUCCUCUUCCUCUUUUUUAUGAUCAUGACAUUUCUUCAUUUCCUUUCCUUUGUUAUAAAAUUAUAUAUAGUCAAAUUUUAAUUAAAACAUAUUAUUUUUAUUGUUAUUAACAAAUAAAUAAAUGAAAACAACAUAAUCUUUCAACAUUGGAUCUUAAACACCAAGAUGAAAUGAUGUCAAAACCAUGUGAUCCAUACAAAUCUCCUUCUGUAAUAAUACACCACACCCACCAGAUAUCACACGCCUCUUUCUUUUCUUGUCAUCUAUUUAACUAAUUUAAUAACAACUUCCAUUUAUUACCUAUGUUUCCCCAAUUAGUAGGGUGGUCAUCCGUUAAACGGGUCGGUUUUGUACAAAAAUUGGAGACCAAAAACCGACCUAGUUGAAAUUAAUAAUAAUUGAAGAUAUUAGUCAAAACAAAAACUUACAAAUCCUUUGAUACCACGAAUUUGACCAAAGAAGUUUAUGCGGAUAGAAAACGUAUUAUUUAGUAUUACUUCCAAGAAAAGAAAUGAAUAGAGGGUUUAUGUAUUUAUGAGAAACUGUUUUUAUUGUGUUUUGAUGUAAGAGGUAGAAGGAAAGAAAGAAAGAUAUGUGUGAAUAAUGUAUAGAUCAAGAGAUUCAAAAGGUGAUACAUAUGGAUUAUAUUUGAAGAAGAGGAAGAGAUGAGAACAAGGGUCAGAAAUUAAUGGAUGAGUGUUGUGUUAACGAAGAAAGAAGGAGAAUAAAAGAACGAAUUUGAUUGUGUCAGCAAGGUGUGUAUAAAGGAAACCCACAUGGAGCAGAAGUCACAAACAAAAUUGAACUGAAUUAAAAUAAUGCAAAUGGGUGAUGAGCUCAUCUUUUGAUGAACUUUCUUUAGAUUUUUUUAUACAAAUAUUUUAAUGGUGGGUGUGGCUGACGUCUGAAUCUCAAACUUAUUUAAAUAUAAAUUAAUAAUUAAUAAACAAAAGCCAAAAGCUAAAUAAUGUUUACCAAAAAUUUCGCUUUUUAAUCUAAGUUUUGAUUAGUGGGAAGUCCAUUGGAUGCAGCGUAUGCAGACAGAUUGGUGCACAUGGCAGUAAAAAUUUAAACUUUUAAUUUUUAGUUCUUCAUCUCUUUCAUUAGCUUUGAGAUUGCAGGUAAUAAAUUAAAUUUAAUUGAUUUUGGAGAAAAAUCAGCAACUGGGUCAUCGUCUUUAUCGUCAAAUUUUAUAAAAUUUCUUUCCAAAAUCCAACUGGGUUUUGUUUUGUUUUGUUAAAUUAAUAUACCCAUCCUCCCUCUUGAGUCUUGAUCAGUUGGUGUGUGCUGGUGGAUUAUCCGAAGGAAGAUCAAGAACUGAUGUGGGUAUUUAUUUUGGAAGUGGGAAGAGCAUUGCUUUUGUAAUUAAUUAGUUUUGUACUUUUAAUUUAAAACCCUCUGAUUUGAAAGAUUCUGAUUCUGAUGGAUACUGUUUGUAUUUGUAUAAUUCUAUUCCGCUUACCCAAAUUAAAUAUUCAUAUCAAGCAUUAAAAGAUUUAUUCUUUAAUCUCAUCAAUGCCAUAUUACUUUUCACCCACACAUCACAUAAGCGAUUGAGAAAGCUCUGUUUUCCCAUUAGCUUUUCGUUUUCUUUGUUUUUUUCUUUCUGCGUGUGUGUGUGUGUGUGUUAACUGUUAAGAGAAGAGAGUGUGCAAGUUGACUUUACAGCGAGAAUUCCAAAGCCGGACGCAAAGGGGGAGUUGGGUUGAUGAAAAAACUUAUGUGGGGUCAUGCUCGAACUUCGAAGGAAGAAUCUUCAGCAUUAGAAUCAUACUGAAUAAAGCAGUACUUACAAGGAAAGGGGGCUGAAGAGAGGCAUUAUUGGGAGAAGGACUUUGGUAUUUUUGUGGUUUUGGGCUGCAAAAAUGAAAAAAGCUUUCUGAAGAAAUCAUUCUUCAUUUCUGCAGAGUUUCUCGUGUUCCUAUUCUUCAGACACUUCUUCUUCCUGCCCAUUUCAGGAACAGUGCAGGAAUUAUAUAACUAACCUUUUGGGAAUCUUUUUGAAUCUUUCAAAUUUGUGAGUUCAGAACUAUUUAUUCUUCUUUGUUGGGUUUCCUCCUCCUUCUUCCUCUUCCUCUUCUUCUUCCUCUUCCUCUUCCUCUUCUUCUUUGUUUUGGAAUUUUUGGUGUGUUUGUUAGGUUGUCUUUCUUAGUGGGAGAAUCAGUCGGUGAAACUUUGGCAAAUAUGAUUCUGAAAAGAAACUUUAUUGUAUUUUGAUCCUACUUUCUUUUUGUGCUUUUAGUGAAUACUAAGCUUUUUUGACUGUGGGGUUUUCUCUGUGUUUGUUAAAAGUCUCCUUCGGUGGCUAACUUUGUUCUCUGAAGCUGUCCUUGUUUCAUAUAGAAUCCACUGAAUAUGUUUCUUAUAAUAUUCAACAGGUUGGUUCUUCCUAAACAUGGAAUGGAAUUUCUUCUUCUGGGUUUGUAUCUGAUAUUGGAUCGGUUUAAGAAGCUAUAUCUGAAUCAGUGGUAAGAAGUUCGUUCAAAGCAUCUUGGAGUUUUCUGGGGAGUUCUCUUUUAUGGACGAUGGUAUGUUAUCACCAGCUACAAUGCUGGAUGCUCCAGCUGAAACUGCCAUGGAUUUGGACUACAUGGAUGGGUUGUUUUUGGAUGGUUGUUGGUUAGAAACAGCUGAUGGUACCGAGUUUCUUCAUACUAGCCCUUCAAGCUUCGGUGUCAACUUAGACGCUUUGAUUGGAUGGCCUGCUACAGAGAUGAAUGGUGAUUUUAACAUGACCCAGAUUUCAAGAAGUAAUCAAGAAGAAGAAAGGAAAAUCUCGACUGAUGAGAUGUCUUUGGGGAGGAAAAGAAUCGAUAUGGGGCAAGAAGGAUGCUCUGGUCAGUCAGAAAACAAUGGUUUUGGAGGUUCUGAAUUGUGUAGAAGAUUGUGGAUAGGACCUGGGGAACAUCUGGGUACUCCAACUUCUGUGAUGGAGAGAUUGAUUACAGCUGUUGGGUAUAUCAAAGAUUUUGUAAGAGACAAAGAUGUUCUUGUACAAGUAUGGGUGCCUAUAAAUAGAGGGGGAAGAAGUGUUCUCAUCACAAAUGAUCUCCCAUUCUCUCAGAAUUCUAGCUGCACAAGACUCACUAAAUAUCGCGACGUCUCUGUGACAUAUGAAUUCACUGCUGAUGAAGAUUCUAAAAAAGCUUUGGGAUUGCCUGGUCGGGUUUUCUCGAGGAAGGUUCCAGAGUGGACUCCUGAUGUUCGAUUCUUUAGAAGCGACGAAUACCCGAGAGUCAAUCAUGCUCACGAACACGAUGUACGUGGAACUGUAGCACUUCCUAUUUUUGAACAAGGUAGCAAGAACUGUUUAGGAGUCAUUGAAGUUGUCAUGGUUACCCAGCAGAUCAAAUAUGGUUCAGAACUUGAGAAUGUUUGCAAAGCUCUUGAGGUUCGUCUCUUUCAUAUUUUAUCUUCAAAUUUUUACCUUUCACCUUUUAUCCUUCUUCUUUGCUACAUUUACUUCAUGGCUAACAUGACAUAUGAAUUCACUUCAUGGUUCGGAUUUGUUAAAAUUGUAUAUCAUUAAUUUCUAUCAUUGGACUCGUAGAAAAACAGCUUAAAAACUCAUGAACUCACAAACAUACAAGAAGUGUUAUUUCCUUUAUCAACGCUUGAAUGUUUAAAUAGAGAAAAAGAUGGUUGCUUACUAAUAGCCUAUAAGGUCAGUAGUUUAAUGGUAAAGAAUUCGUUUAAAACACUGCUUUUUGGUGUCAUUCAUGAAUCAAAACUAUCCUAUCUGUUUAUGUGAAUUUGAUUUCUCAACACUGAAGAUGAAUCGGGGUCGAGAUAAAACUUUGUGGAAGUUCGAAGUACGGUGUUGACAUUUUUGUUUUGGCUGCAGGCAGUCAAGCUUAGGAGCUCUGAUGUUAUGGGCCACCCGAAUAAAAAGGUAACUGAAUGAAAUUCAUUUGACAGAACUGAAUAUGCAACAUUUUUCACGUUGUUCAUUUGAACAUCAAAUUUUUAUUUGCACUAAAAAUCUUAUCUCUUGAUCCUCUCUUUCAGCAGGUAUUUAACAGGUCCAACGAAGCUGUAUUACAAGAGAUUCAAAACACUUUGAAAUCAGCUUGUGAAACGCAUGGCUUGCCUUUGGCACAAACCUGGGCAUCGUGUAUGCAACAAAGUAGAGGGGGUUGCCGGCACUCGGAUGAGAACUACAGUUGCUGCGUAUCUACGGUAGACCGAGCUUGCUUUGUUGCCGAUCAGCGAAUUCAGGAAUUUCAUGAGGCAUGCUCUGAGCAUCAUUUGCUAAAAGGCGAAGGCAUUGUUGGGAUGGCAUUUAAAUCUAACGAGCCAUGUUUCUCAAGUGAUAUUACGUCCUUUUGUAACACAGAAUAUCCUCUUUCUCACCAUGCCAAGCUGUUUGGAUUACAUGCUGCAGUUGCAAUACGCCUUCGUUGCAUUUAUAUUAGUAAAACUGAUUUCGUACUAGAGUUCUUCCUGCCUGUAAAUUGUAGAAAUCCUGAAGAUCAGAGAGUGCUACUCACUUCAUUGUCCACAAUUAUACAACGAUCUUGCAGGAGCCUGCGUCUAGUAACAGAUAGGGAGUGCAGCGAGGAAAAUAUGCAACAAUCUUAUAGAAGUUUACAUCUUGUUACAGAUGUUAAACUUGGGGAACAAAGCAAGUUUCCAUUUGGAGAGGCAGGUUUCGUUGCAAAUGGAAGAUCCGCUAUGCAGGAAAUGAGUAAGGUACAAAACCAUCAGUUAGAAACGAGUCAUCCAACAACUUCAUCUGUUCAAAACAUCCAACAACAUAGUGGCUUUGUCUCAUUUUUCCAGGGGGGCAAACCAUCGGAAGUCUUAAGUUCCUCUGGUUACCAGCAUCGUGGAUUUAAUUACGAUCUGAACGGAGUUGUCGAGGACAGUGAAGAGUGCGCAACUGUUGGUAAUGGUAGCUUUCCUGAUGUAGGUUUGGGAAAAACUGGUGAGAAAAGACGAACCAAGGUGGACAAGACUAUCACCUUACAAGUUCUUCGGCAAUAUUUUGCGGGUAGCUUAAAAGAUGCUGCAAAGAGCAUUGGAGGUACUAAUCUACUGUUUUAUCUGGUAAAGUUUUAGUGCAAAUUAUAUAGUUUUUCCUCCUUUAGACAUAUGAGUCUUGAAAAACGGCCUAUAUAUACAAGUAAUGUAACUAAGUAUGUUUUAGCUUGAAAUAGAAUCAUGGUAGGCUGCUUUUGGAAGUGUUGAAGAUAUGAGUUAUUGUCAUAUGCUGUUUUACAUCUUAGUGAAGAUAGCUGUGAACUUUUAACAUUCUUUUUAUCAUCAAAAUUUUUCAUCUUUAACUCAUUUCCUUCCUAUUUCAGUUUGUCCUACCACAUUGAAAAGGAUAUGUCGGCAACAUGGGAUUAAACGUUGGCCUUCUCGGAAAAUAAAAAAGGUCGGUCACUCAUUGCAGAAACUCCAGCUCGUAAUUGACUCGGUGGAAGGCGCAUCUGGUGCUUUUCAAAUUGGAUCCUUGUAUUCUAAUUUCCAGGAGUUGGCGUCUCCAAAUCUAUCAGGUUCAGGUUCAGGUCCACCUUUUGGUGCAAAGAUGGGAGAUUGCCUGAAAACAUCAAAUGAAGUUGGUAUGAGCAACCUCCAAGGUGCAGCAUCAAAAUCUCCAUCCUCUUCAUGUAGCCAAAGCUCGAGUUCGAGCCAAUGCUUUUCUAGUCGAAGCAAUCAAAAUCUUCCCCAUUGGAACGAAGCCGGAAGUGAAGAUCAAAUGGGUGGUGGAGUGAAUCCUUGUGAUGGAGAGCUAAAGAGGGUCAAAAGUGAAGUAGAGAUACAUGUAUCGAUUAUGGAAGGAUCAAACGUUCCACGAAGAUCCCAAAGCUGCAAAUCUCUAUGCAAACAUCCAGCCACAGAAUGUGCAAUGCACACAGCAAAAGAAAGCAAUGGGAUGGCGGAAGCAGUCGAAGUUCAGAGAGUAAAAGUCAGCUUUGGGGAGGAGAAAAUCCGUUUUCGAGUGCACAACCGGUGGGGAUACGAAGAGUUACUGAAUGAAAUCGCAAAACGAUUUAGUAUCAGUGACAUAAGUAAAUUUGAUCUCAAGUAUUUAGAUGAUGAAUCUGAAUGGGUGUUAAUAACAAGUGAUACAGAUCUGCAGGAGUGUUUUCAUGUUUACAAAUCAUCUCAGGUCCAAACAAUAAAACUAUCGCUUCAGGUGUCUCGUCGCCAUAAGAGAAACUAUCUUGCAAGCAGUGGCUUCUCAUGAACUUGCAAUGACAGACAUUGCAAGAAAGCUAAUGGAGGAGCCACAAAUCUUCUUCAUUUCCCAUUUUCUAAAAGGACUCAAAUUUUACAACAACAACAACAACAAAAAAAAAAAAGGGUCUUUGUUUUUAGAUUUUCAGGUGGAAACUGGAAAGUGGAAAGUGGAAAGGCAUGAAUGAGUAUGCAAAUAUAUUUUCCUGAAUUUGAAGACAAGAAAGUCCAUUCAACUAUUGAAGGCAUCUUUUUGUGCCUUUGUUUUAAGAAGCAAGCCAAAGGUUGUGUCCUUUGGGGUUACAUGUUGGCAAUGCCAUGACAAGUGACAACUACCUCGUAUGUAAAUUACCUCUCUUCUUUUUUUCCCUUUUCUUUUUGGCAAUUGGAAAAAUAGAUUUCUUUUUCUUUUUGACUUUUGGGGUUUGUAUGUAAAUUUGACUUGUUGAGGGUGACAUAAUUGUGGCUGAGCUGGGAAAGACUUUUUUGAAGAAACAAAUAUUUUAUAUGCUCUGACAUCAACUUCUCUGUUGGCAAUAAAAUUAUGGAUAAUAUUUAUUGCAUAUUAUUGUUAUUAUUAAAAUUUCAAUGGAACUCAUUCAUUCAUUCAUUCAUUUGAAAAAUGAGAUUCGGAUGAGAACGUAAAGCAAAGCAAGAAUCCAGUUGAUAUGGUGCGAUGGGUGGCAGCUAAGCUUCCGAUUUUAUUCUUCUCUCAAGAAUCUUCCCUAUCCAAUUCACCAUAGUGCUAUGCUAUCAAAUUCUCUCUAUUUUAUUAUUAACAACUCCAAAUUCUUUUCUUUCUUUUUUUUUUUCUUUCUUUAUUCUUACAUAGUUUUAAUUUUAGGGUUCGUCGAGGUCGUUCUAGAUAGCAAUUUACAAGAGAAAGGAAAAAAUAAAAUAAAACAAGUAUUAUUUUAAUAUAAUUAAUUAAUUUGACCAUUUUGAUGUUUGAUUUAUAGUCUCAACACUAAUUUAAUUACAAUUAUUUAGUUAUUCGUAAAAUGUUGGUUAUAGUCUCCAAAAAAAAAAAAAAAGAAAAAAGAAAAAAAAAACACUUCUACGUCAUAUUUAUUUAUUUAUUGUUUUAUAUUAAGCUAGAAGUAUCAUGAACGUGCUUUCCCACAAAACAUUUUUAAUGUUGAGUUGUUGGUAUCUUUGCUAAGAAAAUCCUAGUAGCUCCAUUAGUAUUUUGUAUCUGAUUCUAAUCACCAAUAUAUGGUAUAAAAAUAUUUUUUGUACAGGAAGGAACAAAACGGUGAGUGAAUAAAAUAAGUGAUCAUAUCCCAGCUUGGGUUGUAUUGUAUUGUAGCUACUUAAUUUGAUGAGAAAUAUUUAUUCCUUCUUCCAUCAAAAUAAUUUUUAUCAUACUUUUGACUUCAAUUUUUCCAACAUAACUAUUGAUAAUUAUUUCAUGAUGUGAUUUGGGAGUUUUGAAAAUCAUGAGAACUGACGCAAGCCAAAAUGGUCUAUUCAGUGCGGAAAACAUGUUUACUUUAAAAUCAUUGGAUUCCAUUGAUAAUUUAUGUCCCAUACUCCCAUUGUUGUGAUCAUAUAUUAUAAUUGAAGCAACAAAAUGAUCAAAUUCAACAACAUAGGCGAAGUGAGUGAGGUUGAGUAGGUAAAAAUUACUAUGUACCCUACUUCCUUUGAGAUUAUAGCAUGUAUGUAUAUUAAAAACAUAAAAAUAAACCCCUCAGCUAACGUGAAAAUAACUCAUCUUAUAAAUAGGAUAGCUAAAUUAGCCAUUAAACAAAGUGCUAUAAUUGGAGGUGGGAGAAUUUUGUGACCUCUAGUUCAAACAGCAAUGGAUGCUAAAGGGAAAAAAUAUAGCUUCAUGAGCAGUCCUGAUCGAAUAUCUAAUCACCAAGAAAAUCAUUAACAGCUCGAUGAACAAACCUGCAUAGCUACUUUGGAUUUUUGAAAAUUAAAACAAGAAUAUUCACUAAUUAACAUGAUGAUCAACGAUAUUAGAAUUGUCUGAUAUCGUUAAUCUUAACUUAAAUGGUUUUUUUUUUUUUGGAUUGUAGGGAAGCAACGGCUUAUAUAAAUUACAAAUUAAGAAAAUAACUUACACUAACUUGUAUGGAAAUUUCACUAUACAACUUAGAAGCUACUAUAUAUAAAUAUAUUUUCUUUCUUUCCUUUCUUUAUUGGCGUUUAAGCAUGUGUGUGUGCCAAUGAAUGAAUGCGCCAAACCUUCGAAAGCCUACCAAACCCUUCUUUGGCUCUUCAUCUGUGAUGCAAAUUCAAUUAUAACUCUUUAUGACUGAGACGAAGUAGAGGGUCGAUUGUCCUGUUGCUCGACGAAUACACAUCUCGAAGGUGGACCGAACAAGCUCAACACUACCUGCAGCAAUAGAUGAUGUUUUCAUAAAUACAUGUCAAAUUUGAUUGGGUGAUUACAUUGCAGAAUAUCAAGAAUUUGGUAUAAUUACCCAUCACAAUUCAUCAAAAAGGUACAAUAAGGAAAUAUUGUAGAUCAAAUAAGGAGAAAUAUCCAAAAUGGUGUAAGAAAUUAAUUAGUGAAAUCAAAUUUUCACGUGCAAAUGUGGUCUAAUAAGUUACACGAAUAACCCGAACCAAUCCAACCCAAACUUGCACCUAACAACCUCUUGUACAGAAGAAGCACAUCUAUACUUACCGGCAAGAAUACGAGGCCGUGCAAAAACCCAAGAAGAACUAAUGCCAAGUACACAUGGAAAUAAUAGACCUGCAGAACAUAGAUAGAAGAUAUAAAUGGACCUCGCAAAUAGAUUACUUAAAAUUGAAAUUUUGGGGGAGAUGAGGGGGGUUUGAAAUUAAUACCACAAAAACUUCAGUUCUAGAGAAGCAAAGUACAAGGACCCCGACUAGCUUUGUUAGUGUGAUUCCACUGCAAAACAUCAGUAUAAAAUAAAUGAAUACUGGCAAAUAAAUUGGAUAAAGAAUGAUAAAAACUAAACGAGGUUAAUUUUCCAAGAUUUCAUAUCUAAGCAGAGCUCCACUAUAAGACAUCGCAAAUGGUACCUAAGAACAGAUGCUCCCAUUGUACUAAGAGCCUCCUUCAUCCGUUGAUUCCUAUCUCCGCUGCUUACCUGUGAGGGAAAGGAGGAUAAACAAUAAAUAAAUAAGAAAAUGCACGAGUAGUGAUAGCAGUGUAUAACCAAUUCUGAUUGAGAGAUUAUAGGCUGUCCUUUGUGGCAACGGUAUGAUCAUUAUGCCUCUAGUCACUAGUUUAGCCAAAGAUGUUAAAUAAUCCGACUAAUUUCCGUAUGAUACUAAUUGUUAAGUUGUGGAUUUUAUAUUACACAAAGGAAACUCCCUAUGAAAAGAUUAUGAAUAUGGUUGACUUUUAGUAGAGUGCAUUAAUGAAAAAUGAAAUCAUGUACUGACCGAGAAAGCAUGUGUCAAAUGCACACAAAAUUCAACAGCAAUUCCCACAGACAUGACAAGAUUGACGACAGAGAUUGCGUUCAAUUGGAUAUUCAAAAUUGCCAUCACGCCCUGCAAAGUAUUAUCUUGUCAGCAAAGGGUAAGAUUUAUAUAAACAUCUGAUAGAUAUUAAAAGAAUUAAACUAACUUCUAAUAUAGCAUUCCAGAGAUAUUUAGGUAUAAAGAAAAUACCAUGAGAUCCACAAUAAUCAUUGCCAACACCAACAAAAUGAUAGCCGAGGUCCAUAAGCUACGACAAAGAAAUCAAGCACGAGGAAGCUUAGUUAGCACAUUUGAAGAAGAGAAAAAUAUCUGUUUACGUGAAUGCCAGAAACACCAUCACUAACCUGCAUGUGAUGAUCAGGCACACAAUAAAAACCGCACCUGGAAAGGAGUAAAAGAAUUUAAAAUCAGUGCUUUUCAACCUUUCAGUAUCACCAAGACAUCAUUUACAGCUUUUUGGGGAUAAGAAUUUUCCUUAAAAGGUCUCGUAUAAAAAUAAGUGAAGGAAAAAUAAGCACAAAGCGCUUGAUAUCAUCAUCACGGAGGACAAAGUUGUAUUACAGGAAGUGCAAGGUAGCCUUCCACACUAUUUAUUAAACAAAGCACGCACAAAUGUCCUUAUUUACUGACCAAUAGCAAUGGCAAGGUUGAUCAAUGCUGUCCUCCAUAUAUUGAGGUAUUGCUCAAAAAACAUGUAAAAUACAGAGUAUGGAAAGAUCUCUAUCUGCAAAUGACAAGGAGGGUAAGUUCAAGAUUAAGCUAAUGCAACAGAAGCAAGUAGUUCAAAGAAAGAAUUAAGGUUAAAUAGUGUUCAAAAGCAGUUCGUCCCUGAAUUCAAUCAAAUGUUGAAAUCAAGUGAAAGGCAAAAUUAUUGGUUCAAAAUAACAUGAUAAGAAAGAGAAUCAAACUAAAAUUGUAGUUGAAAAUUUUACCUUCAAAGAAUCAGAAAGCCUCGAACUCAAUUCUUGAGCAGCCCUCAUUGAAUUAAUAUAGUCAACCUGAUAAUUUUUUAAUAUUUACAAAAAUCAAGAACAUUUUUCUAAAACAAGAAUUAUAUUCUUUACAUACAACUAUCUAAAUCACAAUUAGUAACCGACCACACCACACCUGCUUAUUCAGGGGAGUAUGGUAUGUUCUGAAAGAGGAUGCUUGAAUAACACCAUUUUCAUAGUCUAGUGAAUAAAAAAUAAAAACGAAAGUGUUAGAUUAAGGUAGUAAGAAAUAUUCCACUCUGAGUUAGCAUAUUAUUGUCCAAUAAUGCAAUAGAAGGAAUUCAAUCCUGCAAACCUUUCAGAUCAACACUGCUGGUGUAUGCCCCAUGACCUCCUUUAGCACAAUCAGCAGAAGGUAGAGCACUAAGGAACCAUGGCAAUUUCUCCUUAAAUUGGGCAGUAGAUGGCCUACCACCAUUUAGAUCCGAAUGAAGAAAGCACUGCAUAAUUCCUAAGCAUUAAUAUUUACAAAUUUUAGGAUGAAAUUAGCACCCAUGACUCAGGAUUGGCUGCUAAUUUAGCAAAAUACUGAAAAGCAACCAAGGAGAAGUUAUUUGUUAUCUGUAAUCCAACUUAAAGGGAGUCGUUACCGUUGUACAAUCUUUGCAUACUCCAUUCAGACCACAAGAACCACCACCACCGCUUGAAGUACAGCAAGGGGGCUGAAAAAGACUAAAUUCAGUAAAUUUAAGAAGAUAACGUACAGGGCACAGAAACUACCAACAAUUCUCAAAAUUUUCAAAAAAUAAUGAACCAACUAUUAUCACCUCACCAAUAUAUCUUAUAAUUGGUAAAAUAUAAAACAACCACGUAGUUACAAGUAAAAUGAACUUCAAAGGGUAAAAUCAUUGCAUCAGAAAGAAGAGAAAUAAAGAUAAAACCAAAUAUAGAAAACCAAACCAAUUGUGGAAUCAACAAUAGUUUGCAGCUAUGCCAUGAUGUUAUUUCACAAGAAAUUUUUCAAAGGAACCACAUGACCUGAUCAUCAGGGGGGCAAUAGCUCCCAUUUGUGAACUUCCGACAACAUCCAAAUGCUUCGGGAGAUAUCCACACAAGAUAAUCAUCAAGCCAUGAAGCAGCUGGUUUGGCAAUGAAACUUGACUCUGGUAUUAGUGAAGCUUUUGCAAUCUACAGGAAAGAGGAAAAAAUAAAGACAUAAAAAUCCUUGGUUUGAAAAAAAUAAUGUGACAUAAGCCAUAAUAAAACAGCAAAAAAUUUGGAGCACAUAAAAAAUAUUGGAAAAGACAUACAUUUUCCUGUGAAAAUGAAAUGGCGAUAGACAUACCUCAUUUAAAAGAGAGUCUGAGUCACAUUGACUGAUGGAGCAUAAUUGGUUUGUCUGUCUUGAUUCUGAGCUGAGCAUAGUAAGAGAAUAUCAGCAUGGCAACAAGAGAGAGAGAGAGAGUAUAUGAAAACAGUCCAUCCUCGAUAUUACCACUUUUGUAUUACAAAGGCUUGUACUAUGAUAGUUACCAUGUUGUAGAGAAUCCAUAUAAAAUAUAUAUUACGGUUCAUCACAAAAUGGUAAAGGACUAUAUCAUGAAAAUAGGUUGGCACAGUAUAUUUAUUUAGAGUUGAAAGGAAACCAUACUUUUGAGACAUUAAGUGAAAAGAAUACCUUCAAUAACUGACAAAUUAAAAAAUAAUUCCACUAACGUUUAUUUUCCUUAGAAUGUAACAAAAUAAAAUGAAUUUUUUUUAUUAAAUAUCACUUGAAGAUAUAAACUUCGUCAUAAAGUUCUACGCCUGGUAAAUUUUAAAUUCUGAGACAAAAUAUAAUGUGACAGCCAAAGAUAGCAAAUAAGGGUAGGCGUAGGAACAAUAUGCUAACAAAAAUGGUAAAAGGCCCCAUGUUCUUUCAACACUUCAACUUCUAAAAAUUGCAGAAUCUAUACUAUAAAGUGCAACAUAGGGAGCCAUAAAGUCCAUAAAAUAUGAAUGUGAACAAGAAUAAUACUUGGUCCCGACCAACACUAAAUGUUAUAAACUAACUACAAGAUAGAGUGCAGAACCUAAACCAUUAAACACCACGGAGAGCCAUAUAAAUCCGUCAAACAUGAAUGUAUACAAGAAAAAUAAUUGGUCCCAAUCAGUUAUAAGUAUUAUAAACUAACCACAAGAUAGAGUACGUAAUUCUUGUACAGUUUUACCUGUAAUUGUAGUUCUUUACAACGAAAUAUACCGGUGGACCUAUUCUGAGAUGUUCAGAGAUGUUAUUGAAGUACCCCUGCAUUAAAAGUAGAAGCAGCUUUUACAUGACAGGCAAAUAAAUAGUGAAAUAAGUGGUUUCGGGAUGUAACUAUAAGACAAAAAGGCAUCCCUUCAAAAUAUAUAAUAAAACGAAUAAAAAUAAAAAACCUGAAGAUAAGAAUCUUUGGGUAGCACAAUCUUUUGUUCCAAACCAGCUUCAAUUCUGGUGCACAAAGCCUGUGAAUUUGGAAUAAAGGAAAAUUAACAUCACAUAUAAACAACAUGGUCGGGGAAACUAAUAGCUAGACAACAGAUCGAGAACUUACUAUGCUUGCCAAUGUGAACCCAACAAAGAUGGAUAUGACUAUUAUUUUGACUAUCCAGAUGCUAAGUGCUGGUGCAUGGAUCUCCUGGAUAGAUAAAAAAUGGAGCGUGAAAUAGAAAACAGAACAAUAAUGAAAUGUCAAAUGUUAUGCAAAAGUUGACAUUAGGAAAAGAUAAAUACUUCAAAUUAACUGACAGUGUAAGAGGACAACUCCAACGAGAAGCUUGAACAUUUACAUAAACUUUCAUGAAUUAUAUCCAUAUUUAGGUUUAGAGUAUGAUUGGAACGAAUGAGCCAAAAACAAAACAACUUUUAAAUCAAGAACAAAAGAAAUGGCAUUGUCUAGAUUCAAAGUAGAAAUCAAGCUCCCAAAAAGAGAAAUCAACUUUUAUUUAUUUAUUUAUUUUCCUUCUAAAUAUCCCACAGUUCCCUUGGACACAAGUGGAAUUUCUCUGAUUAAAAUUUUAAUAAGUUAAUAUAAAAUACCGGUGGAUUGAGCUUCAGAAAGAAGAGAAAAGAAUUUGUAUUACAAUUAGAAAGUUACCUUCAUGUAUCGAGCUAACAAGCCAGGAUUCUUCUGAGUGAUACCUAAAUAAUAUUCAACAAGACAAGGCAUCAUCGCGAAUUGCAUCAAUAAAUCAGAACAAACGUAUUUAAAAAGAAAAGUAGAACAAGAUAUAAGAAGUGUGAAAAUACUACCUUUAUCACUGCCAGCAUAUCUUGAGCUCUUAAUACAAGGAAAGCAGUCCACUCUCUUAUCCUCCGUUCUUAGAAAAUCAAAUACUAUUAAAGCAACAAAAGCUGUAACUUGAAGCAGGAAGUCCAGAAGAACGGCUAAUGCUGUAUAAGAAAAUGAAAAUGGUGAUUGGAGAACUAUGCCUGUCUCAAUUAAGAAAAUGAAAAUGCUAUAUAAGAAUCCUUGAGGGCUUUCCAAUGGAUAAAAACUCAAACCUGCAAACAUGGAAAAAACACGACAUGCUGGCAUAGGAAUGAAACUUCCAACUGCAAAUGCAAGAACCUCAGAUAAACUUGCUAGUGUUAUGGAUGGUCCAACUUCUACAAGUGCAUUACUAAUUCGUCCUUCCAAAGGCAAUUCUACUGACUGCCGUUUAACAGCAUGUACCAAUAUACACAUAUUAUCCACCCCAACCUGAUAUUUAGAUGAGAAAAUUUAUUAGAAAUGAAAGAUAAAAAGGACUUCACAAAAGAGUGCAUCAAUAGUUAUGGUUUUGACAAUAGAUCCAAGAUACCAUCAAGAUUUAAGAAGACAUUAGCCAAUCAGUAUUCAGUGGAUAUACAUUUUGAGAAAGAUAUAUAUUAUACAAGGCAAUAAUAGGUUAUCAUGCUUAAAAAGACAGAUUCAGCUUGUUCACUUCAAACAAAAUUGUGAUAAAAUGCAUAGAAAUCUUGGGUAUAUAGAGCUCACUGUAAGACAUAUUCUCGUCCCAAAAAUUUAAAUUUCGAAAUACUUGCCAAUAGCAUGUGAACGUGUUGACAAGUAACAUGACAAUCUCAUUCUUCAGCCAAACCAACAUAUUCUAAGGUUUAAAGUUUGAACAAAGUUCUAGGUUAUACAAAUAACAACCCACUCCCUAUAUGAGUACCCAGACAGAAGAACAAGUAUGAAGCAACAAAAAGUGUAAUCUUAGAAAAUAUGGUAGAUAGUAUUGACCCAGUUUCCACUGGGCAUACAAAAAAGGACACAGAAGUUCAUCAGAUUUGCACAAUAUGUUGAACUGAUAUGAUCAUCUGUGCACGAAGUCCAACAAAACAGAAUCAGGAGUGCAACGACGGGAAAAGAAAGAACUUACUGCCAGAACAAGGAAAGGAAUGACUUCCAUAAUGAUUAGAGUAGAUUUAACUCCAAUUGCACUGAAAAAACCUACUGAUGCAAGAACAGACAACAUGACAAGUACAACUCCAGAGAGACCAAGUAACACCUGUUCAUAGAAGAGAAACAUAAGCUACUAAUCCAGAAAUUCCAACGCUUGGGAGAAAACAUCUGUGAGUUAGAGAAUAAUCUGACCAAAGAGGAAAAGAAAAUAAAAGAUGAAUGGCCAAAGUAGAAUUAAAUUAAGUUCUAAGAGCGCCCAUUGCAUACCUUUGAUGAAACGUAAAAAGUAGAUAAAUGUGGUCUAUCACCCAAAGUAAGAGAUAUGUAAGCAAACAUCACAAGAUAGCUUAUCUGCAGAUAAAUUACGUAAACAGGGUGAAUAGACAAUUAGAAGGAAAAUUGGCAUGAUGGAAAGUGACCUCCACACUAAAUAAAAUAAAAUAAAAUAAAAAGUACAAUGCAAGUAUCUGGAGAAAAUUACCAUAAAUAAGGACAGAGAAUAAAAAUUUAACUGAACUAUACAAAAGUUUAUCUCUAGAAAAGAACUAACCAAGAUCGUGAUGACAUCAGCAGUACUCUCUCUUUUUAAUUCUUCUUCAAUGGAGCUUUCCGAAGAAAAAGAAAGCGUCAAAUUUUGAGAUUGCGUCAUUGUCAAUAACUCAGCCUAUCACAAAAGUAGAUUAAUAUUGAGAAAUUCCAUUCAAUCCUGGGAAGGACAGACACCAUAAAAUUAUAUCAAAUUAUAAACAAAUGAAGGAAGACACUACAUCCAAACAACUGGAUCCCCAGAGUUAUAGAGCCUAGGAUUAAGAGGAACGAGGUUAGUAAGAAAAGUAGGAAAGUUGAAAGCAAACGUUUGGAAGUACAGUAGAUUGAGAUUCAUUGGGCUGUGAAUGUAAAUGGUUCUCGUUCUAUGGGAGGAGAAACUUGUAAGAAUUGAUUUUUUAUUUUCUUAUUAUUAUUAGAAAAGUAAUAAUUUUUCAUUAAUAAAAAUAUGGAAAAUGGACAAAUUUUGUUUAAUCUAUUACUUCAUAAUUAUAAUUACAUCACAUAUUUUCAUCUUUAAUACCCAUAAUCUUAUUGUAUUAUUUGUUUAAAUUAUUGAAGUAUGAGUAAAUUUUUAAAAAAUAAAUAAUUGGUUAUUUUUAAGAAAAUUAUUUCAUGAUGAUUGAAUGGGGAGGAACUAAAUGCCAAAGAUUAACUUCGUUCAUCCCAAACUCAGGUUGGGAUUAGAAAACUAAGGAUGAUUAAACCCACAGCCCAAAACUCAACUCCGAACACCACCUUAAGAACGAAGAAAAAAGAAGAUUGUUUUUUAGGUAAAGCUACAAAGAAAUUUCAACUUGAGGCAGUUUUUCACACAUGGAAGUCACAAAAAAUGAAAAGAGCACAUUUUCACAUAUGUCACAAUGAAAGUAAGUAUAACAAGAUAGUACAAUUUAAAGAAAGUAAAAGCCACAGCCAACCUUAGCCAACUGAAUGAAGGCUUUCUCCCAAGCCACAGCUGGUCCAGAUUCAUUCCCUUCUUUAUUAAUAGCAUUGUUUACUGGGUAAGUUAUUAAGAAUGCAGAAGCCUGUCUUGAAAAACUAUGGUCAGAUAACUAAGGAGAUUAAUUUGUUCAAUUUAGAUUACCAACUAACAAGCAUAGUAAAUUACUUCUGAAUAAUUGUUCCCAGAGAAUCCACCUAAUGCGGUGCUUGGAUCAAGUGGAGCUUCAAAUGCACUCCUGCAACUGUCUGCAGAGGAAUAGUGCUGAAAUAAAAAACAAUAACAAGAAAAUAAAAGAUUGUCAUAUGGGCAAAUGGGAGAAGACAGUACAAAAGAUAUUCAUUUUACUCUUUUUUUUUAAGGAAACAAAUCAUUCUACUCUAAUAAGUCACAAGAACUUUACUUUAAAAAACAAAUACUUUUUUCUUUUUUGAAGGAAACAAACCGUUUAAACGCCUCAUGCAUUUUAAUUCUCUACUGUCUAACAAUCAAAAUCAGAUCAGAAAACCAAACAAUAUAUACCUGAAAACAAUAUUCAAGAUGAUCGACUCCUCCAUAGUUAUCAACAUUUUCUGGAUUCAUUUGGAAAUACUGUCAAAUAGAGUGGAUACUUCAGUAAUAAAUAGUAAAAUUACGCUCUAUAACCUAAAACCACAAGAUUGAUGAUCUAGUAAAAGAUAAGAAAUAUUUCGAUUGAAAUAUUUCAGUGGACGUGUGUUUGUUUUUAUAAGAUUAAAUCAAAAAAGCAAUCCAGAAUAUCCACCUGCAGGACACUCUGGGUGGCACAUUCCUGAUCCAGUGGCUUCAUACAAAUGUCACUUAGAGAUAUACUUCUACCAGAAUAAUUAGCUCGAAUACCAUCUAUCUGUAAAAGUUGACAAGUGGAGAAGAAAUUCUGAGAAUGACACCAUCAAAUGUAAAUAUUACAUUUAAACUACGGGAAGAAAUAUCCUAAUUAAGACAGUCUAAUCCCAUAAUAAAGAAACCAAUCCCGAAGUGUUAUUCUAGUCACAAAAAUACCUUCUUUUGUAUGUCAAACAAUAACUUAACAUUGUUAUCAUUCAAUAUACUUGGCGGCUUUCCAUGCACGGAAUCUGGAACUGUGGCUAUUAUAAUCUAUACAAGAAAUAUGACAUUAGAAGUUUCUGAAGUCAAUAUCUUCUGUAGCCCAACUUCAUAACAGAUAUGAUAAUCCAUUAAUUAAAAUGAUUUUAAUAGUUUGCAGAAUUAUCAAACAAUAGUCUCCACCUGUUCAAUCCUAUAAAAAGGGGCUAGAUGUGAAUCAAAAAAUUCCUUCUCCUGGGAUGCUUUGCUUCCUGGUCCUACCCAUAGCUGAAACAAAUGCAGAAAUCAUCAAGAGGCCAACAACUGACAUUGGGCUAGAAGUAUAAAAUAAUUAGUACAAGGAAGGAUUUGAGGUGGUUAUAAUUCAAAAACCUUCAUGAACAGAUUGCAAACAACAUGAAGUCAAGCACAAUAGCACAUUCUAUUAUAAAAGGCAAUUAAAACUUUCUUCACUGAAUUAUAUAAUAAAUGUUGUAACUUCGGAAAAGUUACCUAGAAUCUGACUAGAAUCAGGACCAUCAUAAUCAGUUAACAGAAAGGGGUACCCAGUGUUAGCAGUCAACUCAACCAUAACAAGGAAGACUAAAAACAAUCAAACAAAUAGUAAUAAAGAGAUGAAGAUAUUCCGCCACUAAACUCUCCAUAUCAUGAGUGACCCCUCUGUUGCCCUCAUGCAGCUAAGCAACACUGGCUGCUGAUUAGCAAGAUGACACUGAUUCACACAUUUCUAAACACAACCAAGUAAAUUACUAUGGUCCACAUGUUUGCAUCUUUUUGACCAAAAUUGUCACACCAUUUGCUUAUCAGAGUCGCAUCUACCCAUCAAUGAAUAAAUACACAUAUACAUAGAUAUACUACGUGCAUGAAUUCAAAGAAAAGCAACAAAUGGAUGGUCCUAAAAAGAAAGAGGGAACUGAAUACACACAUGCAUGCAAAUGCGUCGGGAUGAUGAGAGAGAGAGAGAGAGAGAGCCUCAAGAAAAGAACGGAUUAAUUUUUUUUAAAAAAAAAAACAGCACUUCAACUGAUUGAAACAGGACUUUUCCUUGUCAAUCAUUUGAAGCUGAUAUGAACCAUACUAUACCUUAUCAGGCCUUGUCUCCACCUUGAAACGAAGGAGACCUAUACACAGAAGUAGAACAAUGGCCAGUGAUGAAAUCAACACCAAUGUCGGAUUUCUGGCCACCCAUGUUCCAUAUUUCCUGUGAAGAUACGUGAAUGAAUAAAAAUAAGUCGUAAAUAUGUUUUUUACAUCUGUACUAGUAUAGCAGCAACAUUUAGUACCUGUAAAAAUUGGACAUGUAUCCCUGAACAACUGAAAGCUGAAUCCUACUUCUGAUUUGAGGAGCAUCUUCAAGCAUCUGAGUAUAUGAAUAGUGGACAGAAAAACAAAACAAGGAAAGCCUUCAGUCAAGCAAAUAGCAAAAUUAAUGUUAAUUUACAGCUAAAAUAUCUGGUAGAAAUCAAAGACAAAAAAUGACUGAAAGCAGCAUGAGCCACACAAAUAUUAGCAAAGAAAUUGCUUAUAGGCCAAUCGAUCAGGAUAAUUCACAAGAAUGAUAGAAAUGUGAAGCAUAAUAAUAUUACCUAUUAGCGACAUAUUACCAACAUGAAGAGCAGAAGGGUUAAUGGCAAACUAAACUAAGAUGAUUCACUAAGUUAACUGAAGAUGUCAUUACAGAAAUAUCUACUUUGACCUACGAACCUGCAUUGGCAAACUUUCAUCCUUUUUCCGAGUAGCAGAAUGGAGACUGCCCCCAUCCAUGAUAUUUGGCAUUGUUUUAGUUCCCGAAGAAGGGCUCUUUUGGGAUUUGCGAUAAAACAAACUCCAUCCAAGAAAAGCAGAGGCAAUUAUAAUGUACAGGAUACACAGAGUGAAGUCAACACAUUUAACCUGUAGCAGUUAGAAAAAUAAAUCUUUAAAUACAAAAUGCAAAACUAACACACAUAAAGAACAAGAUGGCCAACUUGUGAGGUGUUUUCUCACCUUGAGAGACCCAAUUUUAACUGAACAAGAAUUUUUUCUAUGGAAAACGGGGGUUGCAGUGCUACUGCAGACCGGUGCUGAAGGGCAAUCACCACAGGAACAUCCCAGUGAAGUAUCUCCACAAGAAUAAGCAGAUGCAUUCAUAUGCUUCAUUCCGGAUGACACAGACAUCGUAGGUGGAAAUCCAAUGGCAUAUGGUGAACCAGGCAAGCCAGGGCCAGCUUGUUUACCGAUAAAAGCAAACCACUCUGCCCGCAAUCAUACCAAUGUUCAAAUUUUAGAAGGAAAAGAGAACACAAUAAAACUAGCUUCAUAAGUAUAUUAAGAGACAAUGCAUUCCAAAAAAAAAUCACAACAGGCAAAGGUUUAGAAACCUCUUUUCUUCUUACCCUUCAAUACUUUCCUCCGAUUCCUCCACUCCACAGAAAACUAUUACAAAAAUACUUUCUACCUUUUGUUAAAAUAAAUUUUCUGAUUUGAGUACGUAAAAAAUGUGAUUUAACUCCACACAAUCAGGUUGUCAUGGUAUAAGUUUGUCCAGCAACCAAAUAGUGAAUGAGUGUGCGCAUACAUGCAUGAGAGGAAGAGAGGGUGUUAACCUUUAAAAUUUUUAGCAUCGGCACCAAUAAAUUGCAUGGCUCGAGUGUUCAUUGUACCAUAUUUUACAUCUUUGCAGGACUCAUAUAGCCCUUCACCAAAAGCAUCAGCUACAUAAUAAUCAAUGGCAUCAACUGUAAGGCUGUUAUUAACCUAAAAACAAAGACAAGCCAUUAAGAUUCAACGUGGUCCUCUAACUGCUCUAGCAUUCAGCUAAAAUAAGGGGAGAAAAUCAUAAAAGCGGUCAGCAUUGCGAAAGAGCAUGCAGAGAUAAUACAUGGAAAUUCAGAGCAAAUGCAACAAAAAUGCACAGUGAUUCCAGAUACAUGCAUUUAUUUGAGCUGUAAUUUGUGCAGCAAAAUAGGAAUUUACUUCCAUAGAAACUCUAAUCUCAAGAAAGAAUAAUCAGCUUACAAUUUAUUGACAGAGACUGCUGGGAAAAAAGGGAAAAGGACUGGAACUUGCUUGCAUACAAGCUCAAAUCUUUAGUAGAAAGAUCAUAUGACAGUUUGCUGAAAACUAAACUGGAAUAUUGAAAUGACAGUUCAAUAAAGAGAACAAACGUCACUUGUCAUCGUUUAUAUUAAAAAGAAGUGAACUACAUCACAACCUUGUUUUUCCAAACAUCUACAUGUAAUUACUUGGUAAGUAAGUGCUUUAAUGAGUUUCUACGCAUGUUAAGAAUAAAGAGAGACAUUCCACCUGAAGAGCAACUAACAUAUGCCCUCUAGAAGGUUCAUCAUUGCUCAGAAGUGAUGGAAACACAGUACACAAACACAUGAAUAUCUUAACAAAUACUAUUUAAUAGCGAAUUGCAUAAUUAUGCAAGUGUUAUAAGAAGAAAGCGUUCUAACCUUUAAAACAGAAGUUACAUUUAUGAAUAAGCUCUGAUUUGGAGAACAGGUAAGCUCACAGAACAGGUUCAAAAAGUUCCUUAAGCAUGCUGGACAACCUACAAGAAAUGGAAUAGCCUGCAUAAAAUACACAAGUCAUAUUAUGGGCCAAAUAUUUGAAGUACUUUCAUCAAAAGAAGAAUGAGAAAUCAGAAGGCUAAUUCAUUGCACAAAAUGUAAGGCAUUGCACAUUCCAAUGUUAAAAAAAUAAUGAGAACAGGAAUAACAAAAAUCAAAAGGUUAAUUCUUCCGUGCAGGAGAAAUAACACCCAGACAAAGGCUGUAAUAUGCAUUGUUGGCAUUCAAGAAUACAGGGGCAUGCAAUUUAAUAAAGAAGCAAUAUGCAUCAAUUUUGCAAGAAAAUUUUUCAUAAAAAUUUUUAUGAUGCAUUUUUCGACCCGCUAUCAGUGUGCAAUAAAUAACUAUGAGAUUAUGUAAGGCAGUUUUGGUAACACAAGUCAGUUAGAGAUCUCACUUGCAUAACUUGUGAUCGUAGGGUGUCAAAUUGUUGUUCUGUGCAACAAACAUUGCCGGUAAUAGUUGGACAUAGACUUUGGAUCUUCGAUGAUAGAAGAUUAUCUGGCUGGGAACACAAUAGUUUGUGAUCAUAAAGAAAAAAACAAGCGAGCAAAACCAAACAUUAAAAUUUGAUGGUAACAGAAUGGCCAAACAGCAAAUUCUGCAUAUUUUAUUUUAAAAUCACCAAUAUUAAUAACGUGUGGGUAGUCCAACAAUAGGAAAUCAAAAGUGUACCUGCACAGAUGGGGCACCCGUAGGACAGUUCAGCGCUUUACCAUCAGGUCGCUUUGCACAGAUGCCAUACAUUACACAAUAUCCUUCGGAGUGUUUUUCCCUUCAAAGGCAGAAAAAGUAUGCAUUAUUUGCGAGUUCAAGCAAAAAAUAAAGCAAAAAUUAUCUUAAAAAUUUAUGAUUAAAAAAAGUAAUAAAAUGAACAGAUUCAAGCUACCUUAUACACAGCAAUAAAUGAUUCACAAUAUAGGAAAUUAGACGUGUAGCCUGAGAAAUAACUAUUCUAAUGAAAUGUAGAAUGGUCAACCAAAAUGGACUGCAUACCCGGAUGUCCCAUUCGUAGAUAACUGCAACCCUGUAUUAGACAUCUCUGCAUACACUAGGACAAAACAUAGAACCUGCACAUAUCUCGACUUUUAGUAAGAAAUGAUGGUCAGUGAUCGUUUCUAUAAAUUACACGAUGAAGCGAAGUUCUAAAACAGAACCCGAAUACCAUAAGAAAAGCAUUAGCAAAUGGUAGGUACAAGUACAACGCUAGACAAUUUACACUCUUAUUUCAAUGGAAGCCACACAUGAUUGCAGAUGAAAGUUAUUCACGAGUCUGGGAAUUAACUUUUAAACCACUCAAAAUGCUCAUUCGGUUAAACAUUUUCGGAUACGUGAUCAACCUCAGAGUCCUGUAAAGCAGAGCCGGAGAAUUUAACCUGUCCCCUAAAUGUUUUCGAUAUAAAAUCCAUUUCCAAGCUCCUCCAAACUCCUCAUAUUCUUUUGCCGAAUACGGACAGCUAAAUAAAAAUUGAGAAAGAGAAAGAGAAACUAAAAAGAUGAACAGUACUAAACAGCACAUAUUGAGGACUCGGAAUGCUCAUUUUGGAACAGUCAUACAGCAAGCAAUCACAGAAACACGGUAUGAAGAAGACAGAACCACAGAGAAGAGGUCACCAAGUCCCAGUGUACAGAGAACAUAGAAACGGAAGAAAAGAAAAGAGAUUCAAGAACAAAAAACGUAACAGCAACAGAAUUCAUGCCUGGAGGAGAUAAAUUGAGAGGAUAAACCCUAAACGGAUCCUCAUUGUGGAGGAGAUGAGAGGUGGUGUAGGAAAAAGAGCAGAACCGCCAGAGAAGUAAAGCGGGAGUGAAAAGGGGGCCACAGAAGUUGUGUGAUAGUCAACACAGACGUAUUUAUAGUUACUGAGUUCAAAGAAGGAUAUCUCCAACUCCAAGUGUUGGCGCUGGCAGCAGCUUACGCGGGUGAGGGGCAAAUAAAAUCGGCGUAGCGAAUUAAAUAAUGUGAUUAUUUACGUAAAUGCCCCUGCUUUCGGUUUGAUUGUCAAGCGGGCCCGCUUGACAAUGAUUUCUGUGUUCUAUAAUUUGGAGCCAAUCUGAGGGUACUUCAGUAAAUGCGCUUUGUAACUUAAACGGCCACCUUUACCACGCUAAACGACAGGACUCAACCUUUAAUUCUUUUUCAUUCUCUAUUCGCACCAUAAAGUUUGAAAUCAUAAAUUUAUGCUUCCAAUUUCUAAGAUAGAUCUUUGAGAUAAUUUUACUAAUCGUUUUUUUUUUUUUUUUUACAAUUUUCUCACAUUUUCUUUCCCUUCAUCUCGAUUUUAUAUCAUCCCAUUUUGAUGUUGCAUCUUCUCUGUCGUUGCUAACCAUAAUGCAAUAGUAUGUCAUUUGAAAAUUAAAAGUAUAAACAGAACAUAAAAAUAUAUAAACAACAUAGGUCAAAACAGUUUUUUGAUCCAAAAAUUUUAUUCCAAUGUUAUCGAAUCACUUGUGUACUUCUCCAAAAAUUUUAUAAACCACACUUUCUGGUAAGCUUGGUUGGGGGGAAAUCAACUACUUCAACCACUCAAACUUAGAGUGCGAUGGUAAUUUUGUUUUUCUUUCUAUAUUUAUAAAAUAUUAUUUUUAAAAAUAGCAAAAUAAAUUAAAAUAUUUAUAAGUCAUACUAAAUUUUUUUAUUCUCCUGAUGAUGGCUGGUGAUAUGUUUUUAUUAUUAAAUAUCGUUAGUUAUCAAAUGUUUAUUAUUGAUGGAAUCUGAAAUUUUGUUAUAGCUUAUAAAUAUUUUGUCAAAUUUGUUAUUUUUGACAAUUCUAUAUUUAUAGAUAUAUGUUUCUUAUUGUGCUACCGAAGAAAACGAGGAAUCAAGAUAAUUGUUUUGAUCUAAUUAAAUAUUAUUUAUUUAGGCUAAGGUUCAAUUGGGUCAAAAAAAUAAGCUUAAUUUAGUCCAAGUAAUAUAAAACACACUUAACAUCGUUAGAAUUGACCAAUUUAUAUCUUUAAUUUCAGUUUGAGACACAAUUUGCAUUUUUGGUCAUUAAUUUAAUAAAUGAUGUGUCAGUUUGUGAUUUGUCUAAAAUUAAUCAUUCAACAACUUAUUAUUUAAAUAAACAUAACUCAACUCAUUGAAAUCUAUCUUAAUGUAUAUAUAAUAAAUGAAUGAUUUAAUUGUUGAAACUCCAAACCUAAAACAUCUCCAUCGUUAAUAAAUAAUAAUGAAUUAUGGAAACGAUGUAUUGUGAUAGUUCACAACCAUUGAAAAAGAAGCUGUGAAGAUCAAGUUUUACGAUAUUUAUUACAAGUGAAGUAAUAUAACGAUAAGAUUUUUUUUUCAUAAAUAAAAAAAAUUGAUAAACUAUUUGCACUAUACCAAACAAAACAACUAUUUACACUUGUAAAAUAUUAUAUUUUUGACCAUUUCCCUAUAAAACAUUUAAUUCAUUCUGCUUUGUUUUGAAAAUCAAGCAUAUUUAAAAUACCAUGAUUAUAAAACUUAGUUCAAAGUGUUUAAACUUUGAUUCUUAUGUAUAUGGAAUGUCAAUGUUUAAAAAUAAAAAAAACAAUAUUAAUUUAUAGCUUUAUCAAUUAAAAUAUAAAAAAAUACAUCUGCAAAUUUUUUUUGUUUUAGUUUCUAUUUAGUUAAAUAGAUUUUAUAUUAAGAAUAUUUAAUUUAAAUUGUGUUUGAAUUUAGACUUCAAAUUUUAAUAUUAACAUUUUUAGCUUUAAAUUUUUACUCAAAUUAUAAUUAAAAAAUUGUAAAAAAUUACAAAAGCGAACAAAAUAUUUAUAUUUAACGAGGAGUGAGUUUUUACCUUAGUGAGUCUUUUUGUGAUAAAUGUUUAACAAAAACAUUUUAAAAUAAUAAUCUAUAACAUCUAUUUUUGCACAUUGCGAAUAGGACAAAUAAGACAAGUAAUAGUGAUAUCAAACUGAUAUCAUAGAGUUAUCGACUUAUUAAUUUUUUACUUUUGCAAUUUAAAAAAUGCAGUGACGUAGAUAUUAUUAUCAUAAUUUUCUUUUGCUAAUUUUACGAGUCUCUUCUUAUUAUCGUUAAAAAAACCCUCAUAAUGAUAACAACGACAGAACCUCCCAAAAACUUACUCGCAAUAUUAUAUAUAAUUAAUUCAGUUGGUGUGUUACACCAACCAUAUUAAUUUGUAGUAUUUCUACCCAAUUACUCUUCUAUUUUAUCACCAUGGUUGUUUUCCUUUUUUUGGUUUUUUUAAAUCAAAGUUGUUUAUUUAUUUAUUUCUCUAUAUUUUUUAAGUUCACGUUGUAAUUUAUUUUCUAAGGACAAGAAAUUUGCACGAAUAAUAUUAUAAAAUAAAAAUAAAUUGUAUUUAGAUAUAAUUUUAAUUUACAAAUACAUAGAAGUUAGAAUUCAAACUUUUAUUUGUAAAUAUAAAACAAAAUUGAAUUUCCAAUUUAUAGUACAAGUGAUUAAUGGUUUUUUCACUUUGAAUUAUACUUUAUUACUAAUGAUUUUUUUCAAAAUUAUAUUUUAAAGUAAGAAGUUGUAAGAGAGUUCCUAUAAAGUCUAUAAUCAAACUAAUAAUACUUUUGAGAACUUUUAAAUGUCCUAAUUUCUCGGCUAAAUAAAUGACAAUUAAUACAAUCAAUAAAAUAAAGGAACACUUACAAAAAUAGCAAAAACAAAUUAUGAUAAUAAGACUUAGGUCAAUACAUUUUAUAAAUUACAAAAGUAGCAAAUUUAAAGUCAAUAACCUUGUCGUAUGAUAUCAUUAAUUACUUUUGAUUUUUGUCGUAUGAUGUAAUUUUCUAAAACAAAAUUGGUUUUUGGGAAGAAAAAUAAUGAAAUUACAAAUUGGAUGUGUAGGUUUUGAGAUUUAAAGUUUUAAAAUUAGGAAGUAAUUAGUGUUAAAAGUUUGUGUGGUUCUAUUAAAUAAAUUAAAAAGAUGUAAAAGCUUUCAAAUGUAGGUAAGAUGAUAUUGAUGUUGAGGGGAUUAAUGUGAAACGUAGUAUAAUUGUAGAUAUUGGCAAAUUCCAAAAACCCAACCACCGCACUCAUAAGCAAAGCCAAGCCAAGCCAAGCCUAUACGCAAUAUAAACUUCCACAAGUUCGAUCUCAUUUGGCUUUACUCAACCAAACAAAAUCCACUAACCUAAUUAGAUUGUACACCAUUCAAAUUUGGCCUUUUUUGUUCUUUUCACACACAUUGACUAAUGAGCCAUUCAGCUACACAAAUAUUGAGUAACAAUCCUAGCAAACAAAUGGGUUUUAAUCUUCUAUUCUAUCUGCAUCAAACAAUACUAUCGUUUUCUUUAUAUACAUAGCAUUGCGUUUAUUGCAAUCUUUGUUUUUCUCAUGCAUUUUGGUGCUUUUGCUAUGAAUAUUAUGAUGGAGUGGAGAGGAAAAAUCAUUGGACAUGAAAUGCAAAAUUGUAUAAAAACAAAAAGUGAUGGCAAGUUUUAGCGUAAGUAAAAGGUUAGAUUUUGUAAGUUUGUGAGGAACAUGUCGUUAAUCCAAAAAAAUAAAAAAAAAAUUCACUCACUAAAAGAAUAUUUGAUAAUACGAGGUUUCAUCUCAAAACCAAUUGACUAAUGAAAAGAGUAGUUCAUUUAUCUUAUAAGAUAUGUGAGUUUUAUCAGUCUUUUUCAAUGUGAGAUUCUCAACAUCUCAACAAAUAAUGAUUUAAAAUAAUACCGAGAAAAUAGAAAAUUUGUUGAUGAUGAAACUAUAAUACUCGAGGAAAUAAGAAAAGUCGGAAAAAAUUUUCAGUAUUACACCAAACUUACUUUCAUAAAUAUUUACAAACUACACAUAAUGUUAAUGGAUCCCAUUUUGUUUUUAAAAGUGUGUUAGCUACGAGUGAGCAUGAUAGACCGAAAAUCAGGCCGAUCGACUAAAAUAGACUAAAUAAAAUGUGGUCGAUCAUAGAUAAGAAAAGAUUGGAUCAUGUCGGGUUGGAAAAAAUCCAAACUGACAACAUUUUUUAAAAGUUUUAAAAGCUUAAACUGACCUAAACUAAUCGAUCGAUUAUACCUCUUUGUGAUUGAGAUCUAUUGAAACAUUUACUAAACUGGUCAUAGUCCAUUUAGUGUAGGUUUGAUUGGAAAACAGGCUCCAAGCAAGUGAUGUUCAUCCUAAAGUUAGUAGGUCAAACAAUAAACAAUAAAUAAAUGGAUAGUAGGAAAAUAUUUGUAGAUUAGCUAAGUAUAAAAUAAUAUAUAUUUAGGAAAAGUUGGUAGAAGGGAAAGGGGGAGUUGAUUGGAGGGUAGGAAAAGAAAGUAAUUGAGAAGUAGAGAAAUGGAGAAGGUGGGAGCAAUGAUGAUAGUGGAAGGAAUUAGAAUUAAAGAAAGAAAAAAGUGGGUCCAAAUGGAGAUUGCGAGAAAGGGCAUUGGCAUUGGCAUUGGCAUUUGCAUUUGCGAAACACCACAGGACACACAACACGCAGCAUUUUGGAUGAUGAGAUGUGAAUGGCGAAAUUAACAAAAAAAAGCCUUUGAGUUCUUUGGGGCCUUUUGGGUGAGCCAUUCAUCUUCAUCAUUACUACUCAUUUGACGCCAUCAUCGCCCUCGGCGCCACGCCUCGAUCAUGCACAAUCCCAAUAUUCCACUUUUUUCCCCCAUUUUAAAAUCAAAUUCCAUCUCACCCACAUGCCCCCUCCCCCCCUAUACCCUAUUAUAUAUGUGUGUGUACGGACGAAAUCACAUUGGAAUUAUAAACAUAUGUUAUUAGGAUUAGGAAUUGAUUCCAUUGAAUUAAAAUAAUUUGGUUAAAAGAACAAUUAUAAGGAAGAAAGAGAGAAGAGUGAAUCUCAAUCCCACAUGCCGAUGCAAAUGAGCGUCGUGGUCUUAACAUUGGCAGUCGGAGUUAUGUAUUACACCUUUUCAGUUUAUGUAUAAUUUAGUGAUUUAAUAAUUGGAUUAGGCCAACUUUAUCAAAGGGGCAGAGGCAAUUUUUUUGUUAGGAAAGGUCAAUAGUUGAGUAUUUGUGAGAAAGGGAGGAAUAAAGUGGGGUUGUAGUUAGCACCUAGGGGGAUUUGUCUUGGGAUUGGUGCAUUUAUUUUAUCCAAACCACCUUAUUCCAUCUUCGUGUUAUAGUUACUAAUUGAAUUAUACGUUUUGAUCAUAUUUACAACCCACGAACACUUUAUUUUGUUUGGUUUUGAAAACUUAGUUUUGUUUUUAAAAAAAGUUAAAUGAAAAAUACAAAUAUUUGGUAAAUAAGAAUGAAAACCAUAUGUAUAAACAAGUAUAUUAAUUUAGAAAAACGUAACUUAAAAUAUAGUCUAUAAACAUUGAAAAAGUGAUUGAUAGUUUCUUAAAUUUUAACUAUAUGGUGUUAUAUGCAUGUUAGGUGUCCCUUGUCACAAUUGCAAUCUUUCAAACACGGGACGAGGGAUUGUGCGACAUUUGUUCUAUUUAGUCAAUAAGUACUCAAUCGUGCAAAAUCUGAAAAUCGCGAACAGAUUUAUAGUACGAUGUAGCUCUUCUUCACGUUCUUGAGAUAGUUUUUUUUAUAAAACGUGAGAAAGAAACAAAAGCAUUGAAAACAUUAUUAAAAAAAAAACAUUGAAGACUAUCAAUUGUAAAAAGUACGAUAAAACUUGGUCGGCUAUUCAACUAACGAGUCUCCUCUAUAGUACAUUUUAAAUUUUUUUAGCUUUGACAUGGAAAGUGCAAAACGUCGUACUUAAAGUUGACAAUAUAGAAAAAGAAAGCAAUGAACUAAACUAAGUACAAAAUACAACGUACGAGCAUAGACAAACAACACAACUAUACUCACUCAUGACACAUUACACCUCUAAAAAUAUAUUUCAAUUUUAUAAAUUCCAAAUAUAUAUAUAUAAAAAAAAAACACUUAUUUCAUUGUAUUAUUUUUCUUAAAAUGAAAAGAAAAAUAUGAAGGGUUAGAAAUUAGAAUCCAUUUUUGUAAAAAUUUUAAAAUAUUUCUAUUUAUGACGAUAUUUAUUAAUAAAUAAAUAACGGAACCUUUGGUUCCGUGCGGAAUCUGACGCAAAAUUGCCUUUAUGUUUCCGUGCCCUAUUUUAAGGAAGUCUUUUGUUUUUUCCUUCCUUUUGUUUUUUUUUUAACCUUCUAUUUUUAAUGCCUAAACUUAAAGUAGCCCAAACAAAAAAGCCUAUUCUUUUCUCCUUGCAUGUGAGCAAAUGAAAUGACCAAAAUGGCCAACCCUACAUUUUCAAAUUAGAGUGUACAUAUAAUAAAUCAACAUCAAGAAUCUUGCUCACCCUUAUAUCAUACCACUUAUCACUACAAAAUUGCACUCCAUUUAGCUUUUAUAAAUGGCAACAGUUUGAAUUUUCACAUAAUUGCAUGCCUUUUUCAAUAUAUACAUGUGAGAAUUAUCUGCUCUCUAUGUGAUGAAGAACUGAAUAUAUAUUCUUAAAAGUUGGGUUUAAUUAGCUAGGGAGGUGGAAUUUGGAAAUGUGUAAGUGGAAUUGAUUUCAACAGAAACAUUUAUUACAAAAUGAGAGACGACGAAGAGUUAAAAGGCAGAACAACCCACAAGAGAGAGGAUUAUAUAUAUAUAUAUAUAUAGUUCCAAAUAAACCCUCUUUCAUUAAAAGUUAAACAGUCUGUCAUUGCAAUUGGUCACAGCUGAAACCAUUAACAAAAGCAUUGGAUGUGAUGAAGGUUGAGACAGUUUUGCAUACCAUGGCAUGCCCUUGGAAACUACACACAACCUCGUUUGUCCCCUCGCAUCAUUUGACAAGUGCUUUUUCAUGCAUUAAUGGAAACAAACUCCUCUAUCUUUAUUCAUUCAUUCCUUAUCAACUUAAUUUUUCUACGGACUUAGUUUUAUUGCUUUUCGAAAGUAAGACAUGCCCAUCAUUCAUCUCUACCUCAUCCUUUUUUCCUUUUCUUCCUAAGUGAUGAUAGUUAUACUGUUCUUGUCAAAAAUAAUAAAUACCAAAUUUCGUUUCUAUAUAUUGGAAUAGAGGUUAGAAUUUAGUCUUUGGAUCAAAUCAUAAAGGGGACUUGGAUCUAACUGAUGUAAAUGGGGUUUGGUCUUAUCAAAUCAGUGGAACUAUAUUUUAUAAAGUUUUAAUGGUAAGAAUUAAAUUGAUCUAAACUUUAAGAUAAAAGUAUGAUAUUUUAAAAUUAAACUUUAUAGAUAAAGAAAAAGGGAUAGAAUUUUCUCUUCUUUUUAUUUAUUUUUUCCUUUUUCUUCUUUGGUAGUUUGUUGAGAAGUAGUAAUUAUUGUCUAUAUUGCUCUUAAUGUCAAUAGGAAUAUAUAUGUGAAAUAUUGCUUUCCAAUAUAAUUCUUUCUUUUUUCAUUGACGAGACAUCUACCAACCAUUUUCUAGAAGUACAUCGUUGGGUUGAUGAAAUUAUUGAAUACUUUUUAAAAAACUUAUUUGUGUAUAGUGGAGAGGUGGAAAGCAUUUGAAUAGGAUGCACCUAGAAAAACUAUUUCUAUGUUUUCCAUCCUAUUUAUCAGAUAAAACUAUGUUAGUGCACCAAAAUUUAUGUUUGAACAAUUAGAAAACUACUGUUCUAAUAUGCUUUAUGAAAUGAAAAUGGUAUCUAUUAGAUACAUUUUCAAAUUAUAAUAAACUUUAAUCUUGACAGUUAGAGCUUGUAUUUAAUAGAUUCGUAAUAGGACACAUGUUGGUACUGUUUCAAUGAUAAUUUCGUGCAUUAAUGACUUGAUUCAUUUAUUAGUUGAUAAUUAAACUAAUUCGUUGGAAGCUUAUACUCGUUGUUUAUAUUAAUUAUACUUUAUACUUAGAAAAACAUAGAGUUAAGUGCAAACAAAGUCUCGCAUUUGUUGAAAAUAAGUUAUAGAUUGGUGAAGUACAUCAGAGAAAAUAAUUAUCUCUAUUGAUAUGACAACUUUUGAAGUAGCUCGCUCAUGAGUAUUUAGAGUAGAUAGUAUCGUAGUAUUAUGGAGAUAGAUGAAGGGUGACGUUGUUCUAACAUAGUUAACGUUUUCAACCCAUUUUUUAAUGGAAGGUUUUUUUGGUUGACUAGGAAAAUCUUAAAUUAUGUUAAUCGACAUAAGUAAAGAAAAAAAAGCAAUAAAUAGAAAAGUUGAAUUAAAACACAUUCUUCAAGUCAUUUAGCCCAUAGAUAAUAAACAUGCCUAAAAAGCUAGAAUAUAAGGUACUCCACCCAUAAUCCACAAUCAUAUCACCAUCAUUAUUAGCAUUACUUAUUAAUAUCUCUUGCAAACUUAAUAUCUCUUAAAUGGACUCGUAAUAUCUCUUGCAAUUGAAUGAACAUUUUUGUUUUGACUUUCUAAAUACGUAAAACUCCUAUUAUUUUUUAAGUACUAAAGAAAACAAACCUAAAAUAAAAAACGCAUUUAUGAAACGAAACUAACUAACAUGCAAAGAGCGAAAAAGUCAGAGGGGAUUUUGGUUUAGAACCAAGUAAAUGAAGUUUAGAAGUCAAUAGUAGGGCACUUGAAUAAAUAAGAAGAAAAGAAUAUGGUAAUUCAUUUGGCUAAAUAGUGAAAAAAGUAGGAAGGAAAUGAAGAAGAUGAAGAAAAUGAUUAAAUUUGUACAUGAAAUAGGUAAGAUCCAUGAGAAAGGGAGUAGAGCAUGCCCCACAAAAUCAAUCAUACAAUUAAAGGAAAUUUAAUUUACUCAAUUGAUAAAUAAAAAGAGUAAUAAUAAUGAAAAAGAGUUGUGUAAACUCAAGAAAUUCAAACGACUGCUUUUUGUAUGGAAAGUGUGGUGGCCAGAAAUGGGCCUAUUGGGGGCCCAAUCCAAUUAUGUGUGGAGAGUGGCUUUUUUUUCUUUUUUUUGCAAAAGCUGAUGCUGCUAAGUCUUUCUUUGCCAAUUUGGUCAAAAUCUUAUUUCUUUUGGAAGGGACUAAAGAGCAAAUCUUGGUUGCCUCUUGAGGAUUUGCUCUUGAGUUGGCUUAGUCAAAUGCCAAUCACUUCUUUUCACAACGCUUAUCAUUAUAGGCUUCUUUUCCUUUCUAAACGAUAUUUACAAAUAUAGCAAACUAUCACUUUCUUCAAACGAAACAACACUAAAAUUAUACUUACCUAGCCUUUAUUAUUUUUUGCAUUUAGUCAUAGUUCAUUCAUGUAUCCCUCUCGAGUAUUUUACUUUUAAACUCUUACCGUGUUUUAAUUUUUGAGUUCAAAUGAAUAAAACCCAUUUUUUCUCUUUUUCUAUAAGAAAAUGAACAAGCUACUUUGAUUUAUUUUAACAUCCCAAAUGUCAUACUUGGAUUAAUUUGUUAAAUUUUGUAUGGGAUAUAUAUGUUCCUUAUCCUAUAGAGAUGGGGCUGGAGGUUCACUGCUCUUACUAAGCCCAUUUGACCCAUUUAUUACAAUCAUGUUUGUUCACAAUAGUCCAGGGAAGUUGUUCAUUCAUUGCUGCUUUCACAGCUAUCCAUAAUUAUUAACCCCAGAAUCUAAUCUGAUUUGAAUGAUUUAAUGACAAUUUUGAAUUAUGCAAAAAGAAAAAGUGAUAAGAUGUGAAGUCAUGUAUGAAACUAAAUCUAUGUCUGUAUUGAAGGCAAAAAAAUCCAUAUUACCUGAAAUAUGUGCAACUACCACCAAAGGAGAGAUAUUGUCAUUCAAGAAUGCAUGUGGAUUACUUGCAAAUUUAGAUACUUAUUCUACAAUAUUAAACAGGAGAUUGGAGUUGGUCGGGUUUCUCUAUCGCCGGCAAAUCCACCUGCAACCAAAUACAUGAAAUGCAACUCGAAUCAUAUUUAGAUUCAAUUAAAAUAUCGAGUCGAAAAGCAAAAUCUGUAUUGUUCUUGAAUGGUUUGUCGUAAACUAUAUAAAAGAAGAAUCAAUGUUUGAGAACUUGGAAUGGCCUUUUCCUUUUGCGUUAAAUACUUAAACCGAUGGAAGCAGUCAGGCCUUUUCUUUCGGCAAAGAUUUCUUUCUACAAUCUCCGCUCAAAGAAAAGCUGGCUAUUUCUUGGUGUACAGUAAACAAUAUUCUGAUCGAAGAAACAAUAAUUCGAGAUUAUUGAUUUGAUGCCUUACAGAGCUGUUCGAAGACUUCUAUAGCAGCCACCCUUACUUGGAUGUUGAACUCUUUCCGCAUCUUGAAUCUUGAACAUGGGCACUCCUGUCCCCUUGAGGAGAUAGUUUGGAGGGACUACCUACCCCUUCCCUCGGUUGUUCUGAUGCGUGACUCUGAGAAGCUAAGUACUCAAGGGCUACAACAAUAUCACUGAUAAUUGGCCGGAACAUUGGCUGCUCCUGGAGACACAUUGCAGCAAUUGCGAUUGCAUGGUGUAGACAACGAAGUGGAUAGCGCCCUUCCAGCAGUGGGUCUACUAAUUGAACAAACUUCCUCCGGUCUUUUAAAAAAGGGCGAGACUGAAACGAGGCACAGGUGAAAAAAAGUAGUUGUUAGGGCCAGUUCAUUUAAUAUGUCAUCUUCUACAACAAGAAGCAGAGCCUAGCCAUGGGAAAUGGUAGUUGAAAAUCAAAAUAAAAUAAUUCUCUCAAACAGGAAAAUCAUGGAACAGUUUACAUUUUCCGAAGAUUGUGGAAUAGCACCAAUAGUUUUGUUCCAAGGCAGCUACAGUAACUACAGAAAUAGAUUUUCCCAGGGCAAUAUGAGAAUUGACAACUUACCCAAGCAACAAGAUUUUGCUCUCCAGGUUUCUUGGUGGUGUCUAUAGCUUUCCUGCCUGUAAUUAUCUCCAAGAGAACUACACCAAAGCAAUAGAUAUCAGAUUUAAGGGUCAGUUUCCCACUCAUGGCAUACUCCGGAGCACAAUAGCCAUACGUUCCCAUAACUCUGGUGGAAACAUGAGUGUUGUCACCAACUGGACCUAACUUGGCCAGUCCAAAAUCAGAGAGCUUUGGAUUGAAGUCAUCAUCCAGUAAAAUAUUUGCAGAUUUCAAGUCACGGUAAAUGACUGGCGGAUUGGCUGUGCAGUGAAGAUACUCGAGGCCCUGUGCAGCACCAAGUGCAAUCUUGAUUCGAGUGUUCCAGCUCAAUGGUGAUCGUUUGGGGAACAAACCUGAAAACAAAAUACAAAACCAAGAAGAAACCGAACACAAUUAGGAACUAAGUAGAGAGAGUCCCACAUAAAUAUUUAUAUAACAAGUAAAACUAGUCAACCUUAAAAUCUGUUAACCUCAAACAGCAAUGCAACAGAAAGAUAUUUUAAGAAAGCUAUUUCUAUGCUAUUCUUUAGUUAUCACUCUCUAAUCCCUCAGGCUCAAGAACAGAACAAAUAUCAAAAGCACCUGAUUUCCUUUAGUUUGAGUAGAAACAUAGGGUAAAGAAAGAUAGACAUUUACCAAAAAGAUGAUUUUCCAAGCUUCCCAUCGACAUGUACUCGUAGACCAACAGUCUUUGAUCCCCAUCAGUACAAUAACCAAUCAAUGUGACAAGAUUACUGUGAUGCAAUAAACUUAACAUGAGAACUUCAACGAUGAAUUCCUGAUAUCCUUGAAGACCAUCAUGAUUGAGUUGUUUAAUUGCAACAAUCUGUUCGACCAAGCAAACGACAGUUGCAUAAACAUCAAACUCAACUUUACAGAAAAACAAAACCACAUUGAGUUUUUCACCGAUCUAGGUGGUUAAAAAAAAAAAAAAACCAGCAAGAACAACCUGGCCUGAUUCUAGUCGGCCUUUGUAAACUCUUCCAAAACCGCCUUCACCAAUCAAGUUCACUUCUUUGAAACCUCUUGUGGCAGUCGCCAAUUCGCGAAACGGGAAGCUUCGCGCAGCUCCACAUUUCCGGUUGUUUCCACCUCUGUUUUGUGAUUCCUUCCCUUUUCCAGUUUCUGCACACAAAUUCAACAACCAUAUGAUGAAAAUCAAAAGCUUAUUUACUAAUCCUUUUCAUUUAGCAACAAAAAGCACUAAGAAUCUGGUAGUUGCAGUAGACAUUUACCAUUUGAAUACGACUUCCCCCUCCCACUCCCUGCGCGAAAAUUUUCAAGUGUACAAAUCCCAAAACAUCGAAGACUUAGUGAAAUCUGACCUCAAAAGAAAGAAAGAAAGAGAAAGAGAGCUUAAAAUUCGAACGAGUACAUACCGUUGUCAAUUUCGACCUUGCUGGCGUCUUUACAACGAGUACGAAUGCAAGAAAAACAGCUCAUCUCCAAAAGCAGAGCAAUUGAAAUUAUCACUCACAAAGAAAAAUCACUCAAACCAACGAAAUCCGCAAUUCCCAACUCGACCCAUAUACACAUUUCAAAUUAACUUCACUCUAGCCCUGACCAGAGGGAGAAAGCUUGGUCCCAUGAGCCCCCCCCUCCGAAUCAGGAAGAUUUGAAGACAAACCCUAGGGUUAAGCAGAGAAGAACCGUUAGAAAGAGAGGAAGAGAGAAAAAAAUAAUUUUACAAAGAAAAAAACAAAAUAAAGAGUGUAGGCUUACAUACUCUAAGAACCCAACAAAAAAAAAAAAGUAAAUAAAUAGGGAAAUUCGAUCAGAAGUAUCGCCACAGGCAAAUAUGAUCUUUCAACCAGAGAUAGAUCUAAAGGGCAAAAAUGAGAAAGCAAAGCUAAAUAUGAAUGGGUUGGUCGGAGGAGGAAGUCCACCGGCAACGAUCGGGUUCAGAUUCCGGCGAAGUAAAAGAAGAAGGGUGAUGACACAGAGAUUUAGCUUCAAAUUAUUUCCCUGUUUCUUCCUAGAAAAGGAAACCCAAGUGAGCAUUUUUGUUUAGGGUUUGAAUCUGGGGAGAUGGUGGGCCUCCAUUUCUUUGCAUUUAUGUUUGUGGGUAAUCGUCACAAGUCGCUCUCUUCCCUCUGAAUUUCUUCUUUCCUUUUGCCCGCAUUUAAACGUUCCGGUCGGCCGGUCCUCAAGUUUCCCUCACUGCCCUUCAUCUUCACUGCUAUUUACGAAACCAACACUCUCCCAUCGGUUCAAAUCCGGUUGGAACUAUGGGUUAGCGUGUUUGACUUUGUUUUUUUCUAAAGUCAACUCCUUUCCUCCAUUGACGGACGUUAAACCUUACCUGACGGAGCACUGUACUAAUUCGGUGCAACACUGCAAAUCUCAUCCACAUCACAUGCAAUGUUGAUUAGAAAUUCAAAACUUAUCAUUAAUCUUGAAAAAUGGGUCAUAAAAAGCUCGAUGAGCCAACUGGCUUGACAUAGAUCGAAGCAAAGUUGUCGUUGAUGUGAACAGUGAUAUAAAUCAUAUGAUUUUGUUUAAUUAAAGAAAAAAGUUUUUGUUUUUUGUCCUGUAACUUGAAAGAAUAUGAUAUAAAACUAGACUGGGACCCAUUAAAGUGAAAAAGAAAAAAGAUAAGAAAGACACAAGUAGAAACAAAAGAUGGCACAUGAUUGGAUUGUUGUAUAAUGUGAAGAAUGGUGGUUAUAGAUUUGGACCCAAAUCUAGGAUGCAAGUGUUGGGAAAUAACAGCACAACCCCAAUUCUUUUUCCAAAGUAUUUAAAUAGAAAAGCAUGUCUGGUUCUAUUUCUGUAUUCAAUGUGUUUGGCUGUCUGGGACCAGAAUUACAUAUUGGGAUCUCAACCCAGUUAACCACAGCACAAGAGAAAGAUUAUAAAUUCUUCAACAUGGUCAUUGGAAUCACUUUUUGGGUUACAAUCAGAAUUUUGAUGGACAGUAGAAUAUAACUGACAUCAUUUACCAAUGUCCUGGAAAGGCAAUAAUGCACUUGCAGACAUUCAAGCUGUUUGGAAUCACUUUCUAACACGUUUGAAAUGCUUUUAACGUUUUUAAGCACUUGGAAAAUUAUUCCAAUAAGCUAAAAGUUGGUUGAAGUUGGGCAAGAAUCUGUAUAUAAGAAACGAUGCCAAGAUGCCAGAUUCUGUCCUUGCUCGACUUUGCUUUGUACUCUUCUUAGUUCUUUCAAUGCUCUCUCUUAUGAAAUCAAUCCCUCAAAUGAAUUUCCUUAUGCUUUCAAUUUCUCUUCAUGAGGUUUUGAUUGAAAGUUUCAUCAAAAAUUUGAACUUCAUUGGUUGUUGGUGAAGAUCCGUACAGUUCGGUCAAAGAAGAAAUCAAGGUCGUCAAACUCAAUUUCUAUGCGGUGUAUGACAAAUUGUAGCCAUUUGAAAACAAACCUGUGAAGGGUGAAGUUGAUCUGGAAGACCCAAUAACUUUCUAAGCCCACUUCAAAACAAAAGCCCAUGGUGAAAAACCCUUGAUCUGACAAAAUAUCUACAUCAUUUCCUCCAAGAGUUAGGUGAGGGAAAGAAAAGUUAGCUGCCGUUUCUAGUUGUAGAGAGGAACCCAAGCCGCCGCGCCAAUUUUUGAUCAAGAACUGCAUCCAACUUGUCUCCGGCGACGUUAAAAUCAAGGUUUUGCCGUUUCUAAAAAAUGAAACUUAUUUGUUGAAGAUCUAUAGCUUUUUGACUAUUUGAACUUUUGAGAUAUUUAUGGAUUUUUAUUUUCUUAAAACCAUUGCAGAUCUAUCGAAGGAAGCUCCAAACGUGAGUGGAUCUAAUCGGAUCUGAAAUCCGAAAAUUAUUGGCAGCAAAAUAUUUUCAGUGUGGUCGUAUAGAUUGAAGGUUGGUUUGAUCUGUAACCCCUCUGGUGAUCAUCUUCACUAAAUUCAUUCUUCCUACUAUGUACAUCUGCUUUAUACUUUCGGUUGCUGAUUUUCAAAUAUUUUGACUUUUGUGUGCAUUUUUGCAAUUUUUUCUGCGAUUUUAUCUGAUUGAACUCAAUCGUAGAGGGAAACUUAGAUAAGUCUGUUAGUGUAGGCAAUUUAGUAUAGACAAUUUCAAGUGGAUGCUUUUCUGCUGAGUGAGAGAUUUUGUGUGUGGUUGAAUGCAACCACAGCUUGAGGCACUAUGCUCCACUGCGUUGGUUUUGGUUGCCAAGGGACCUUAUUAGAUUGCUCAAAGUUAUACUGAUCACCUCUGUAUGGCCAUUGGUCUUUGGAUGACCAGUGGUACUAAAUUGUAACCCUUCCUUUAUCCACCACACCUUAUGUGGGGAAGGGUGUGCGUCUGGUUUUAAGUUUGGUGUUGUAAAUAGGGGUUUAUCAACUUUUCUUUUUCAUUAUUAACCACUAUGAGUGGGCUUUGUGGUCAAGAAGGAUCAUGUAAGUGUUUUUAGGAUCAAUUAAUUCUAAUGCAGAAGCUCACAAGGUGGCCUAGACACUCAUAGAUAUAUAUGUACUGUUAAGUUUGUCAUGCGUCCUUGUUGGCCACAGCAAAAACACUUCCCAGAGUGUUGGUUUGGCAUAGGAAUAUUCCUUUGGGAUUCUUGAGUUUUCUGUAGGCUUAAAUUUGUUUUCUUUUGUUUUGCUAAAAGGAUAUGUGGAAGUACCACCUAUUUCAAAUGUUCUUUGGGGUUUCAAAAUUUCCUUCUUUGAGAUUUAUCGUGAUACUCCAGCUGGAUCAUUCUAUUGCAUUCGGGGUUUUGUGAAUCUCUUUCUAUUGUGGCUGUCCAAUCCACUGAUUCCACCUUGGGCUGGGAUGGUGUUUUUUGGUGGUUCUUGAAUAAUUUACAGGUUUGAAUUUUGUCUGAAAUGUCUUUUUUCUUUAUGUGCAGGUAUAUUAAAUCCUUGGGGUCACUUUGAAGGCGUUCUUGUGCUUGUAAGCUACCUUCGUUUCUGUUUUAUUGACUCCGAAUUGUUCUCUCUGCUUUCUUUCACGAUUGUUGAUUUUUUUCGUUAGUGUGGAUCACUGUCGCUGUCAUCAACCGCUCAAAUUGAAUGCUCUGAUUCUAAAUUUAUGUCAUUUAGUAUUUGGUAACACCUUGCAUAUUUGCGAGAGAGUUGAGUUUAACUUAAGUCAUCAUUGGUUGUCCCUGCUUUGCUUCAUUGUUAUUAUGGCUCUCCAAACGUAUGCUCAUUCCCAGCUCUCAGGACCUCACCUCACUGCCUUAUCCUCCAUACUCUCUUCCUACUCAACUAGUGAGAUUCGACUCCCUCUAACUUCUACUACUUCAAGACGACGCCAUCUUCGUCUUGUUUGCUCCAGCAGUGAUGCUAAUAGUAAUAAGAAGGGAGUACCCAAUUCCAACUAUGUUGUUCCACUUAAUAAAUCUUUUUCCCCAGCUAACUCAUCUUGCAUCACUCGACCCCUUGCUGAGAUCCUCCGCGAUCUAAACAAGAGAAUCCCCGAUAACAUCGCUCAGAAAGCCCCUCAUUCUGACACCAAUGAUCGUUCUCCUGCCACUUUCAUCCCUUGGUUUCAUGCUAAUAGGAUGUUGAGUUUCUAUGCCCCUGGAUGGUGUGGAGAGAUACGAGAUGUCAUAUUUUCAGACAAUGGUAGUGUAACUGUGGUAUAUCGUGUGACUGUUCGAGGAUCGGAUGGAGAAGCACAUCGUGAAUCGACAGGAACUGUCUCAGCUACUGAUAGCAAUAUUGAGGAUCCUGUAGCUGCUGCAGAGGAAAUAGCUUUUUGCAAGGCUUGUGCGAGAUUUGGCCUCGGUUUGUACCUCUAUCAUGAAGAAUGAAUGAAGCAAACAACAGAACGAUGCCAUACUUCCCCGACGUGUAAUAAAGUUUUUUUAGUUUCAAUAUUUUGUAGAAAUGAGUACAAUCUUGGCCUUGAGACACUUGAGAAGUGUACAAUAGUAGUUUUAGAUGAUUCUGUGGAGCUUGAACUUUAGCAAAGUCAUGUAUGGAUACUUCCAUACCAUGUUGCUGAUUUACAUCUUUUCCAUUUACACGUGUACUCCAUUUCAAAUAUGCAUUUUCAGUUUUACCCUUUUCAAAUGGAUUAUUCACAGUUGCUUUUACUGUUUGAGGCAAUCGAGAUUUGGCUUCAAAUUUCCCUGUUUCUUCCAAGAAAAGGAAUUUCAACGUCUUUUUCCUCUGGGAGAGGCAAAAAGAGGAGUUUUGUAGAGUUUGAACUUUUGGGUGGGGGAAUGGUGGGCCAUUGUUUCUUUGCAUUUAUGUUAGUGGGCAAUCCUAACACAAGACUCUGCAUUUCUGCCUUCACUUUGCCGGCAUUCAAAAGUUUCGGCCGGCCGUUCAGUUUCCGCCACUGCCCUUUAUCAUCUCCGUUUUUACGAAACUAACACUGCCAGCCCCACCGGUUCUGUUCGGACCGGGUUUGAAUAAGGUCAACGCCUUAGCCCUUACGGUCUAACCUCGGUUCAUGACGUUAAAUCUAAUCUAACGGAGAACUGUACAAAGUCUCAUCCACAUCACAUGCAAUGCUGCUUAUAAAUAGUAGUUUGUUAAUUAUUUUUCUAAAUAAUAAUAAUAAUAAUAAGAUUAAUUCUUCUUCUAUUAUUAUUAUUAUUAAAAAAAUAGCACUGAUAGCUUCAUGAGAGCCAAUUGAUUGACAUAGACUCGAAGCAAAGUUGUGGUUGGGUUAAUGCCAUAGAGUGAUAUAAUUUUGGUUUGAUUAAGGAAGAAAGGUUAAUUCUUUCUCUCUUUUUCUUUGGCUUUGUCGUAUUAUUAGAUCAUGAAACUAACGCAUAGAUGAAUAUAUAAUUACUACCAAGAAAAAAAGAGAGACCUGGGCCCAUAGAAAAGGAAAAAGACAAAUUGAAGCAAAAGAAGUCACGUGCUGGGUGGUAGUUGUAUAAUAUGAACAAUCAGAAUUUAGAUGAAGAAGAACAGUAUAAUAUAAGUGGCAUCAUUUAUCGAAGUUUGGGAAAAAGCAAUAAUGGAGACAAUUAACACAUCAUUUGUUCUUGAAAAGUUCACUGUAUAUUGAUUUUGGUUUUGGUUUGAACCCGUAAACAGAUGAAUGAGUUGGAUCUAGACAAUAAUUGUACAAAUCACUAAGGUCUAGAUCGAGAAAAUGAGAUAAACUGAAGUUACUAUCUGUACAUAACUGCAAUAUUAAUUGUAUCGUAUACAUAACAAAUAUCAUGUCCUCACAGCUGCAAUACUAAAUCGGGUUGAAUUUGAGAAAGAAUCUGCAGAUUAGAAUUGGGUGCAGCAGAUAAGCCUAAUCCAAAAUUAAGGUCAGGAUCGAAGGCGAUUGAAUCUAGCACAGGACGUGUUGAUAAUUCUUGCCAAUGUGCCUUUUCACUACGCUUGUCUUGUUGUGCAUCGACUGUGUCCUGAAAGCAGGCGCGGGCUGGUGAAUGCCACGGAGCGUGUGACUGAGAGGCAUCUUCUUCUGCAAGUUUUGGCAUUCCAGUUUGGUUUAACAAAUCCGUAUUAUCUGAACUGGAAGGGACUUGGAAAGAAGCAUUGUUGAGAGGAGCUGGGCAUGUAGAGUAUUCUGAACAAGACGUCCCACCAAGAAUAGAAUCAAGUCUUACCAUUUUCAUUUCUUGUGAAAAAUGGGGGAAAAGAUUACCAUUUGUGGGGUGGAUGUUUGAAGGAACUAGUAUGUUCUGUUCAUUCGGUAUACAAGUUGUUGAUCCUAUUAAACCUCUACUUCUGUCUAGCAACACUGUCUUGCUUUCAGCAUUUCUCACUCUAUCAAUUUCAUUAUCAGCAUCUUCGCCGAGUUUCAAAAAAUUAUUUGAAACACCAAUGUUGGCCGUGCUUUCUGCCACUGUUUUCAUGUCGGAUGAGCCUCCAUCCAGAGGCAACAAAUGAUGCUGCUGUAGCAUUUCAAUUUCUUGUAUUAAUACUCGCCCCAGCUCCCGACUAAUACCUUUGAUUUUCUUUAAAGCAAUAUUCCAAACUGCAGGACCAAGAUCGGCUGCAAAGAGAGCUAAGCUUCUUGCAUAACCAUGCUCGGCAUGCAAACCCACCUGUUUGAUAAUGAUAAAAAUUAGCUUUAUGAUGACUGCAGUCAAACUCACCCCAAUCCACCCCAUCACAGAAAAAAAAAAAAAAAGGAGGGAGGGAGAGAAGAAAAAGAGCAACCCCACACUCAUUCCCAAACUAAAAUGGAUUCCUUCAAGACGAUAAAUAAGAAGUAAUACGAUCUCCAAUGAAUAUACAAAAAAGUUCAAUAGAAGAACAGAACAAGGAGUGCACUACAUACAGUAAUUAGUUGCUUCAAGUCUCCAUCAAGGUCACCAAAGACAGAUGGCCAAUUCCCACAUGACGUGGAACGAUUAUAGGUAUCACGUCUAUUCUCAUUCACAGCCAUAUUAUCAUUCUUUCCACUUUUAAGAACACCCUUUAAAACAGAAGCUGAAAACGAGUGGAUAAAACUCUCAGAUAUGUUGGACAAAACUCUAACGAUGGCCAUAAGAUAUUUUGUAGUAGUGUGAAGUAUAAAAGACCUGGAAACUCAAUUUUCCAUUCAGGCAACCAGCUGGCCAAAGUUUCGCCAUGUUGAGCUUGUGCUGUAGAUGUUCUUGCUAGAGGAUCUGCAGGCAGGGGUCUGAAGGUGGAACGAGCUCUUCUCAAAUUGUAACCAUUGACAUUGUAGGAAUCAUCACAUCCAGAAGCAAGAGUAGCACCUGAGCAGAACUCUGCUCCAUUACUGUCAAUAGCGUUACCAAUACCUAAUGAUUUCUUCAGGCUCUUUCCUGGAGGCCUACCUCUCCUCACAACUUUCUGUUCUGGUUCACUUUCAUCGCUGCUCUCUCGCCUCAAAUUCUCAAAAUCCUUCUUUGCAAGUUCUUGUAUUGAUCGUGCCUAAAAUAAAGUGAACUUUAAAACAUAUAAACAGUAAAUCCAAUAAUUAUUCUAAAGCCACAACGUUCAAAGACAAAAAUCCAAACUUGUUUAAACCUGACGGAAGAAAACAGUAUCAGAAGCAUUAUACUUCAUUGCAUUCGAACAUAUCAAAAAAAUGUCUUCCUGCAAGAUUAAAAUGAUAAAAUAUCAAUACUUCACCCUAUAUUCCAUCGCCACAUUAAAUUCACAAAUUACUUGAAAUAAAUAUAAAUAUGUAUAGAAAAAAAGCAUACAGUCAUAAAGAGUAAAAGAUGUUCAUCUUAUGUCAUCUAACCAAAUUCCUGAUGUUCAAACUUUUAGACAAUAGCAUGAAAUAUACAUUAUAAGAGCUCAUCACAGAUACUAAUCAAAACCCAUCGAAAUUAAGACCUUGCACAUCAGUGCCUUGAGUUCCAAACCACAGUUCAUAAAAAGGGCAACCAUACACUUCAAGUUCGUAAAACCUUGGGGGAUUGUGAACACGGGUAGGAUAAAUAGCAGAAAAUUCUGCAGUCUUUUGCACAUACAUUGACAUGGAUGUAAUUCAGACGACUCAAACAGUUCCAUGAGUCAAAUAUCAUAAAAUUAGAGAGUUGAAAAGAAGACAGAGACGUAGGCACAAUCUACUGGUCAACAGAAUGCAAGUCUUCAACAAUAAUUAAGAACCAAGCACUACAUAAUUAGUAAAUGAACGUAUCAACAGAAAUAAAAAAAGAAAUUAUAAAAGCACAAGUACGCACUUCAAACUGUUCCAAAUUUGCGUAAGCUCCUUCAUCUAAUUUCGUUCUCACAGUCCCAAAAUCCAUAGGAUUUUGAAUAAUGACAUGGUAAUCGGGAAGCUGUAAAGAUUACCAAAAAAUGAAUCAAAUUUAAGAAAACCUAAAACUAACCAAUAAAAAGAUUAUAUUCAAGAAAGAAAAAAACAAAACAAAACAAAGAAAAGUACAUCGUUUGGAUCCACGGGUUCGGAAAAUACUCCAUGGGUGUCUUUUCUGAAAGAAAACAGAGAGUACCACUCAGAACGAUUAUUAAAUUGCAAACAAUAAUGUUGGAAAACGAUAAGAAACAAAUGAACAGUCGCACUUUUGAAGCCUAUCAAGGAUGAAAAUCAACAACUUUUUGUCUGGCAAAGUUGUCGUGGGACCAGACUCCACCUGCGACCCUACCCACCACAUAAAAUAGUAUCAGCAAAUAAAGUUCACAAACACACACACACCACCUUCUUCUUCUUCUUCAACAAUAACAACAACUGAGCUUUGUUAAGAAUUGGAUACCAUACCAUGUGCAGGGUCUGUCGCUUUCAAAGCUUUAUCUUCUCUCUGCAAAUUAAGUUAAUAUCACCAUUAAAACAAUAUUACAACUCUUGGGGUAGUGGGAUUCGAUUUCAAUAUAAUAUUUAACUGUUUAGAAAGGCCUCCAAUUUGAUUACAUCAACAUAAAAAGUCAGAGAUAAGACAAAUUCAUUCUUUUUCUAGUUGAUACUCCAUUAUUUGGUUUGAAAUAUAAAAUUUUAAAAAAAAGUGAGAGUUCCAUUAAGUAAUAUUAUCUACUGAAAGAGAGCUACAAUGAUCUCAAACUUCAAAAAGAUAAAAUAGAGACGAAACUUGACCAAGUCAAACACAAACCACAAACAACCGAUCUGACAGAAAGUUUGCCAGAAUCUUCAAUUUACACGCGAAGUUAAACAAAUAAUUAAAUCUCGUUCGUCUGGAUAACAUAACACAGCAAUUCAAUUUUUUUAUUACAUAUUUUAAAAAGAAAUUUAAAAUUGGUAGAUUUUAUAAAUCGUUUCCGAAGGGUUUUUCUUGUUUUAAAAUGUUUUUUUUUUUUUUUGUGUGUUUAAAAUAGACAGUUCAUCACCACUUGAGAAGAUCCAAACUGGGCGGCGCCGGUUCUGCGACGCUUGAGGGCUGUCUCGGACUCUUCGCCAUAGGAGGCCAAUUUACGCAAAGAAUAACCGGACAAUGUUGGACAGUUUUGACGAGACGUUAAACCGAGUAAGGGCUUAUGCUUCUUCUCAAUGCGCUCGUCGUCGUCGUCGGCAGCGGCAGUGAUGGGGACUUGCUCUGUUCCGGAGUGAACAUUGAGAUUCCGACAAGAAGGUGGGUUCCUAGGGUUGGAGGAAAAGUCGAAAGCGUCAGACGGUUCUUGAUGCUGUUCCUCCUGCAACUUUUGCUGUUUGAGGAAGCGCUUUUGGAGAUCUAAAAGAGAAGGGCGACCCUUUUUCUUCUUCUUCUUCAUGGUGGAUUUAGAAACCUCGCCCAUUCUUCUUCCCUUUCUAGCAGGAACCAAAGGCAGGGAGGUUAAUUGAUUUCAGUUUUCACGGCGGACGAUGCAGGAUUUCUAGGCACGUGCGAAUCGCAUGACCCUUUCACGUGCGAAUCCGUGACGGAAUAACGUGCAUGCAAAGGAAUAGAACACAACCGAACGCUCUCUUCAAAUUAUUAAACUCUAAACAAACUAAACUACUAACGCAUCUCAAUAUGGGCCCAGUCCAUCAUAAUGGGCUUUUCUUUUAUUUAGUUAAAAUAUUUUAACUCUAUAGGGUAGAACUUAGAACUAGAAGGUCAAGUAUAAAAAAGAAAAAGAGACUCUAAGAGAAAUAUAAAAAAUUAUAAAAUAAAGAAAUAUCAAACAGAGAGAGAGAGAGAGAGAGAGAGAGCCCAUAUAUGUAAAGGGAAGGUCAGAUUUGGGCCUAGUUAUGCGGGCCUGGGGUUGGUAUUGGGCUUAUUUGAUUGGAAAGAGGGGCUUUGAGAGGUUUCGGGCGCGGGGGGGAGGUGUGGAGUGGCACCGCCAAGCGAAGACAACGAAUAUUAGGAGAGAAAACACAAAGAGGCGGAGAGAUGGAAGAGAAUGAGGUGGACCAAUGAAAGAAGAGUGCGCAGAUUAUUGAGGUGGCAAUAAAUUUAGAAUCCCGCCUAAAUCCCAGCUUUCAUUUCAUGCGCAAUUGAAUUUCAAUUUCCCAUUCCCCUCCAUAGGGACUUAAUUAUCCCCUUUUUUACUCUCAUUAACUCCCUCUCUUCCCACCACGUCCGCUUCUUCCUUCCUUCAUCCCUCCCUCUUCAAACCCUAAACCUAACCUAACCUAACCUCCUUCCCCGACUUCUCCCUUCGGUACGUUUCAUCCAUCUCCUUCCUUUUUUCUACUUUUUUUCCCUUCUAAUUUCAUCUCUUUUCUUUUAUUUUCCUUCCAAUCGCUGCUGAUCCAUUACCAUACUGCAGGAUUGGAAAUGAAAGGCGGUAAAUCGAGGUCGGAGUCGAAGAAAGCAGACACCAAGUGAGUUUUUUUUUGUUUUUUUUGUUUCUUUUAUUUUUUUAUUGGUCUUGUAUGUUUAUUUUCUAGCUUUGAUCGACCCUAGAUCUAGGAAGCUUCAUUGUUUUUCAAUUACCUGUUCAAAAGCUACGCGUUGACUUUCUUCUAUUUGAUUGAUCGCUUUUGGUGAUUUUUUUAUCCUUUUAAUUGUAGGCUUGCUGUGAAAAAAGGUGCAGCGGCUAAGAAAGGGAGUAAGAAGGCAGGGAAAGAUCCUAACAAACCCAAGAGGCCUGCCAGCGCCUUCUUCGUUUUUAUGUAAUUUUUUUUUAUCUUUUAAUUUACCCUUCUGAAUGAUUAUCUGCAAAUUGUCUAAUUUUGAUGGUUUUAGGGUUGCGAAAAAAUUGUAAACAAGGGUACAAAGACGACGAUCUUGUUUUCCAUGAGCGACUACUGAUGUUCGAAUUAAUUAGAAAUACCUUUAGGAAAUAACAGCGAAUAUUAGAAUUGUUGAUUUUCUACAAAAUAGUUUCCUUUGAUUCGUGGGUCUUUGGCAUGUAGAUCCUUUGUAUUUGCAGUCGUUUUCUUUAGGUAAGUCGAGUACCAUCUGACCCAUUUGCUGCCCUGUUAUUGCAUUUGUUUUAUUAUCAAAGGGAAGAGUUCAGGAAGAAGUUCAAUGAGGAGAAUCCGAACAACAAAGCAGUGUCUGCUGUAAGCUAUUUAACUUUUGUACUAGUUGCUCCUUGUUUCCAUUUGAAUUUUCGUGACUCUUUUGUGGGAAAGAGUAAAGAUGUUGGUUUACAAAUGAUUCAAUCAGGUUGGUAAAGCUGCUGGACAGAAAUGGAAAUCAAUGUCAGAUGCUGUACGUGAUAGCUAUCAUAGUAUUUCUUAUACUUAUCCUGAUAUUAUAAACUCUCUCUGAAUUACUGUUUAUAAUAUCAGGAAAAAGCACCUUACAUUGCUAAGGCUGACAAGAGGAAGGUUGAAUAUGAAAAAAACAUGAAGGCCUAUAACAAGAAACAGGUAUAUUGUCUCGGAAAAGUCGUUCAAUCAUUUUGAUUGCAGCACUUAUUUUCUUAUGUGAAUGAAUUCUCAUAUAUCGGUUGAGUUCAGGCCAGUGGAGCCAAUGCUGCAGAAGAAGAUGAAUCUGAGAAAUCAAUGUCUGAGGUGAAUGAUGAUGAGGAUGGAGAUGAGGGCAGCGAAGAGGUUAGCUUUCUUAAGGAGUUUAGUUAAAUUAAACAUCUUAAAGUUGGAACUGUUUUUUCAUUUCAUUUUUCCCCCUCCAAUUUUGCAGGACGAUGACGAGUGAAGAUGUAGAUGAUAGUAACGUCAUUUAGGGUGUCAGUGUAUUUGAUCUUUCCAUAAUAAUGGUUUGAUCAUUUCCUGUUAUUUUGUUUUUUAUAUCAUGAAAAUAUGUUAGUAUCUCCCUGUUAUUUUGUUUUUCAUAUCAUGAAAAUAUGUUAGUAUCUCCCUGUUAUUUUGUUUGUGCAUUCAGUAACGAAGGGUUGUAAUGGGAGAUCAUCUGCCUUGUACCUUACAAUGUUAGUUAUUCCAAUCCAACUGUGUUUUUUUAACUUUUUAACUGAGAUAACAAGAUCACUCCACACAUCAUGUGACAAUAUCAAAACCUUCACUUAUGUAUUACAUUUUCCAAUCAAGCUCAGUUGGGCACCCUUAACAGAGUUCUCUCUUUAAUUUCUCCAGUGGUUGUGUUUUUAUAUGUUUUUAGCCGUGUCCUCUUCAUGGUUAUUUGUAGGCCACUCUUUUAUGCAUCUCUGAGAUAGUUUCUUAUUUGUUUGCAGCAGCUUAUUAUGUCUCUGAAUUUAUGUUCAUUCUCUUAACUGAAGAGAAGGCAAUUAGUUGAUUAGUAGUUGGAAUGAGAGUGUCUUGCUGGCUUGGCUUGUAUGGUGUUUCUGGCUAGGAAGGGGUUUUGGAGAGGGAUAUUUCGGUAUAAUUUUUCCAUAUAUUUGUUAGUAGUUGGUGGUGGUGGGCUUUGUGUCUACAUCGUAUUGGUUCUUCACAUUUUGGCUGAUAGACUCGUUUAUACAACAUUGCUGGAAAUCAUAACUAAUAAGCCAUUAUAGAAUCAGAUACUCAAUUAUAUGAAACUCUUCCACCGUGCUAGAGCUGGGAAUAGAAGCCUUCUCAUAUGCUUCGAAAGUCCAAACAUCAACCAGUGUCUUUUGAAAAUAUUUGGGAUGAACUUUUUUUUUAAAAAAGUAUUGAAUGUUCUUGUAGGACAAUAUAAAAUUGAGAGUUUGCUUUUUAUUUAAGCCAACUUUUGUUGGUUGAUCACAGGUUUCAUGCUUAUAUCUAACCCAAUUGUUUAUUGUUAAAAACAAAAAGAGAUUAUUAAUCAAAUACCGAAUACCAUUAUCAAAUGACGUUCAAUUCAUUUUCAAGAAAUUUGAUGAUCUGUGUAUCCAAUGACUGGGUCACGAGUGUAGAAAGUACUUCUAUCAUACCUUUUAGGCAAAUCAGGGUUAGCCAAGAACAACCUUCCAAAAGCAACAAAAUUAGCACCACCAUUUCUAAUCACUUCCACUGCUUCCUUCUUGUAUCCACCAGCCACAAGGGUCCCUUUAAACGAUUUUCUCAUCCCCAAUAAGCUUCUUUCUUUCCCCUCCCUUUUCUCAAACCGAGUUACCAUCCUUGGCUUAAUCAAGAACUUGCCUAGAGCUUGGGGAUUGGAGUCACUGCAGCCGUAAUCUGCAAAUGGCGACAGCUGCUGAUCUUUUCACACAGCUUCCACAACUUCUAAACAAAAUCUUGCAGCGCUUUUCUAAGCUUCCUCCAUAUUGAUAUCAUCCCUUGUGUGGUUGACUUGUCUUUAAGAAACUAAUUGAUUAAGUACCCAUUGGCUCCAUUGAUCUCAACUCCAUCGAAAACCUAAAUAUACAAGGAUUAAACUUGUUAUAUCAAUUAGGAUGUUUUUCUUUCAUUUUGUUAUAAUAAUAAAGAAUCAAGUAGUACGGAUGAUUAAUUGGUCUGCUGUUAUUAGCUUCUAUGACAUUCAUGACUGCAACCUUGUAAUCCUUGACCACUUUGACUAAUCGCUUUCACCGUUGGUGACAAAGGAGGGGGAUAUUCCACUACCAUGCUCCCAGUUAUUUAAAGCAGUAUUUGUAACUCUAUAUUCUAUGUAGCUUUUAGGUAUCUUUUAGUUGUGUAAAAUUAAGCAUAUAAAUAAGUUUUCUAUCUCUAAAUUUCUUAUUUUGUUAUUUACUUUUCAUUAAUAUUUUAAACAAGAAUGAAGCCAGGUUAAUUUUGAAAAUGAAAGGGUAAUUAGAAGUAAGUUUUGGUUGUAACAGACGAAUAUUCAAGAGAAAAUUUGAUGGUCUUUUUUGGAUGGAAUAAUUCUUGUUAAUGCAAAAGAUAAUACCAUAAUAGUUAGAAGGAAGAAUCAUGGUCAUAAUAUUUUAAUUAUAAGUAUCCAGUCAGGAUUUAAGCACAAUAAUAAAAUAAAAAUAAUAAUAACAAUACUUUAGUACAUUUCAAAUUGCAAAUGAUAAUCAAUUUUUUUUAAAAAAAAUCAAGGGGUAAUAAUGAUAAAAAAAUUCAUUAUCCUCCCAAAUCUAGUACAGAAGUGAAUCUAACCUAAGUGCAUCUUGGACCAUCACACUCUCGAUCCGCCAUUGUAACAAAAAAAAAAAAAAAAAAAAUCCUCAUUGUAAACUCACGAUGAUAUGCACAAUAACAAAAUUUUCAAGUUAACUGGAGAACACUUCUAUAAUCUUUAAAAAAGUACUCUUGUUUUUUUUUUUUUUUUUGUCAAUAAUGGACUCUGAUUCAUAAUUAAACUUGAAAUAAUCAUCACAAAAAUGCAAAUGAAAUGAUUAGGUUCACUUUUCAUAUCACUUCCCAGAUUGAUGAUUGAUUAUGGUUAUAUUUAUUAAAGAUCAAAAAUAAUAUUCCAAGUGCUAAAAAAGAUAAGAAUAUUUUUUAAAAAUUUGCAAUAAAAUUUAGAAGGAAAAAAACAGAUAUGGUAUUGAGGUGAUCGUCAUAAAGUUAGGUACACGUACCCUUUUUUGUGGAAAUCCAAUUUCCCUUCUCCUGGUUUUCAGUAAUCGUCUACGGGCAGGUCUACGAUCGACUAGUUCAAAAGAGAGAGAGAGAGAGAGAGAGAGAGAGAGAGGAUAAUGGUUAUUUAAAUAAUAUGGUUACCACUAAGCCAAGCCAGUCCACACCUCCACCGUUAAAUGAUAAAUAUGGCAUUAACUUUACCCGAAAAGUUAUUUUGUUUCUUUGAUUUCAUUUUCCAGAAGAGGUUGAAUUCUCAGUCGGUGGCUUCUGCAGAAAAAAUGACCAAAAUUUUUAAUUUGUUGUCUAAAUCUAAACUAAACCCUAAGAAAUAAAAACAACGUUGCAUGGAAUUGGGAAUAUUCAAUAAAGGAAGUUUGACGACACCAAACCAAAGACGACCGUAGCUAUUGGUCCGUGGAUUCCACGCGCUUUACCUGCCAGUAGGGGAGGGUUAAUGUUAAAGAGGAAGACAUUGCCGUCGUGGCAAAGCAAGAGAAAAGACAAACAGACAAACGGAGAUAUUCUUCAUAAGACCCGCCGCGACCCGCGCAAUCAGUGUUAGAGUGCGCGUCUGACGUGGCAUUUUCUUUUUUAGGGUCCAAUUCAAUAAUUCUUGUUCUUCUUUGAGUGCUUUUCCCCCCCUUUUUUUUUUGGCUUUGCUUAGAGGAGAAAAAUGGAAAUGGCUAAAUGGGUUAGCUGAGAAUAGAGACGUAGAAACGAACCCAGAAGUUGCAGAAGCAGAGGGUGAUGGAGUGGCAGAAUCAGCAGCAACAGAAUCAAACAGAGCAAUUGCAAAUGCAGGUGGAGCAAUUGAGCAACGCCGAUGGAGUUGGUGGUCUCUACGUCAAGGUGAUGACCGAUGAGCAAAUGGAGCUUCUCAGGCAGCAGAUCUCUGUCUAUGCUUCCAUAUGUGAGCAGCUCGUGGAGAUGCACAAGGCAAUCACCGCCCAACAGGACCUUGCGGGUCUCUCUUUUCUUAUCUUUUUGCAUUACUCUUCUCAUUGAUAUUCUGUUUCAUCUCCAUUUGUUUGGACCUACAACAAUAGUUUUUUCUGUUAGAUCUACUUGUCGUAUAGGAAGUGAACUUUAAGACUAAAUCUGGGUUUUAGAAAGUAUCCUCCUCUAGUUCUGUUUCUGUUAAUUGAUUAAACUUUAAUAUUACCUGUUCCGUUUGCUGUAAACUAUAAUUGUAGGAAUAAGCGGGACCCUUGCUCUUUGUUUGUUUCAUCAUCAGAACCAUCUACUUAUCUUUCCUGUUUCUCAAUGCCUGGAGAAAUGGACUCCUUUGGAAAAUGAAUUUUGCUCCUUAAACAGCUUUUAUGCUUACUGGUUUCCAGGAAUGAGGCUUGGGAAUCUUUACUGUGAUCCAAUAAUGGCAUCUGCUGCUGGUCACAAGAUAACUGCUAGGCAGAGGUGGACGCCUACACCUGUACAGCUUCAAAUUCUUGAGCAGAUCUUUGAUGAGGGCAAUGGGACCCCUAGCAAGCAGAAGAUCAAGGAUAUAACUCUACAGCUGACACAACAUGGUCAAAUUUCAGAAGCAAACGUCUAUAAUUGGUUUCAAAAUAGAAGGGCUCGUUCAAAAAGAAAGCAAGCAAACUCAUUACCAAAUAAUGCAGACUCAGAACCAGAGACAGAAGUUGAUUCUCCAAAGGAGAAAAAGACUAAACCAGAAGCCUUCCAAACUUAUGAACAUUUGGUUCCGAAGUCCGGCAAUAUGUACUCCCAGAGAACUGAUUUAAGUACUGAAAUACUUUCCUUUGAUGCGCAGUCGAAUAAAGGGGAGCCCAUGUUUCAGUCUUUCGGAUCUGGUCAUACCAGUCAGAUGACUCCAAUACAAAAUCAUAGUAUGUCACUCUGUUUUUUCAAGAGCUAUACAUUUGAACAUUUCUUGAAUUUUCUUCAUCGGAAAUUUCCAUAAUGCAGCAAUUAUAUAUGAGUAUGCUCAAUCAAACAUAUAUCAUUUGUUGGUGUCUAAUUCAACUUGUCAAUGUGCAGGAAAUAAUAUGUCGAAUGAUAAAAUGAACGUACCAGACUACUCUCCAUACACUCCUUGUGAAGGAUAUCACUUGGUCGAGUGACUGCUUGCCUUGAAGCUCAUCCUGGAGGAAUGUGCGAACUGACACAGUACAUAUUACACUGCAUGUAUAAGGAAAUUAAAUUUUGAAAAUGCUUGUAAGGCAUUUUAUAUACGUGGUUAUGAACUAUAUAGCUUAUAGUACUGCUUGAAACCAAAUUUUGAAGGAUUUGAUUAAAUACGUUACGUUACGUUUUGGUACGAAAGUGUUGUUUUCCUGCAAUUUUCGUUAUUUGCUUGAUUCAGCUUGCAUGAUAAUUAAUUUUGCACCUGAGACGUAACAGACUGUCGACUCACCUAAUCCCUGCAAGUGGAUCAUAAACAAAAUGGUAAAAAUCAUAACUAAUGAAUUUACAACGGAAACCAACCUUGAAUUUGACUCCUCUCCCUGAGAAGUUUCAUCUCUAGUCCAAGUGCUGCACAAAAGAUGUAGAACUCAAAACAGACCUGUAGUUGCGUCUGAUGAAUUAACUAGCCAAAUGGCUAGAAAGUCGUACAUGUUGCAACUUGCAACUUCAUCCGGAAUAAUGAUCAAUAUUCAUGGCAAGUUUUAUUUUUUCUUGAAUGAUAAAAACAUUUACGAGAGACUAUGAAGUUAAACCCAUAACACUAAAUUCAGAAAAUUUCCACUUUGAGAUCAACAAUCAUACCCUCGAUAAGGCAUGGGAAUUGUCUAACAUUAUUACUAGAGGGGAUCUACAAUGCUGUCCUAUCCAAAACAGUGACAGCCUGACAAAACAAUCAUGCAGAAACUAUACAGAGGGCUUCACAACCCGGAAACAAAUGAUUAAGAUAAAUAUGUAGUCAACUUUACAACUGUAGUAUAAAUGGACAUAGAUUAAGAGGUUCUUUUGUCUAGACACACACAAAAGCUUCCACCUUAGCUGCAUUCUUUGAAUGGUGAAUUUGACCGAUAGAAAUUGCCAGAUCUCCCAUUAUAUCACCACGUAAACAUCCAGGCGAUCUUAUUAGCCUGGACUGCAGCCCAAAACAGUGGUUAAAUUAAGCCAAGCAGAAUGCCUCUAGAUGAGUACUUCAUGAAGAUCCUUUCCUUCUGACUUUCAAUUUAGUAGACCUCCAGCCGCCUGAGGUUAGCGGGCUAGGGGAGUAUGAAAAAUUUUCAAUGGGUUCCAUGACGGCAUACUUACUCUUCGCUGAGCUACUAACGGGUGAUACUUCCUGCAAUAAAAUUUUGGAAUCAUAGUCAGCCAUCGUACUGAUUUUAAUUCAUGCCGCAGUAACUAGUUAAUUAACUUUAAUUUCUCAUUAUAUCACAAUCGUUUACCUUGUUUAUUGAAGCCUUUCCUGUAUCAGCUUUGAGGUCUUGGAUCUCCAAACAAUCCACGAAAAACAUCACCUGCAAAAUGAGGAGACGAGAAAUGUAACCAAAAAAACUGUGGAUAAAACUGUCAUGAUAAAGUUUGAGAUGUUGAAACACAAAAAAUUCAUAGUCAUCUUCACAAAAUAUUAGAACUGAAUAACACGUACUUUAUUAAGUAAUGGAAUAUUCGAUGCAUCGGUUGCCAUGAUCUGUACACCAAUGCAAUUGUCACUGUAACAGAAGGGGCAAAAGACAUAAUUGUAUACACAACCAUCCUCCUCACUCCAUAUACCACGUCCUGAAUUUUUCGAAGACCUAACUAGGAGCCUCUGGUUAACAAACAAGAUGUCUGUAAUAAUAAGCUGUAUACUUGCUGACGAAUUGGCAGUUUGAGCUUUAAACCUUUCCUCAUAUAUUGAUAUUAAGUGUGUUUUUGAUGAUACCGUAAAUGAGCAUGUUAUGUUUAAAUGGUUCUCUGGGCGACCGAGUGGGCUUCUACAAAGUGCACAAGAUAGAUGCAACUUUUUGUCCAUUGGAAGGCCAGAAGACAGAUAAACAGGACUAGUAUCAUUUAGCUUGGGCAUUUGUGUGACAUUUAAACCGUUAGACUUCUUUUCCGUGAGAAGAAUUUCAUAAUUAGUAUCUUUUGGGCUAGUCAAAUUUCUGCUGAUUAUUGAGCUUCUGUCCACACUGUUACAUUCGGGAUUUUUGGUUUUGGGAUCAGUAAGAAACUCUUCUUGAGCAAGUUUCGUAAUAGUUAUACCCAUGGACUUCCUUCUUUUCUGGGUAUGAGAAUUUACACUCAUAUUCAAAGAAGAUUCUGUAUCUUGUGCAAAGCUGUAGGCAUUCACAGAAACAUUUCUUUCAGGAGUAUUCAGCAUUGAAGUUUCAGAUGUAAGAGGAGAUCUUGUUGAUUUGAUCAGAGGUAAUGACUGAUGUGAUAAUUGAUCAGAAAGCUCAGAAUAUGCCUCAAUUACAGUUGAAGUCGAUCUUUCAUCUUUGGAUUCUCUGGGACUAGUGGCGCCAACAAUAUCAACACAAGGAGUCUCCUGAACAAUUGGGGAAUCUGGAACUUCAAGAACGGUAUUCAUAGACAGAAACUCAUGGUUCCUGCAAUAUGCAGUUGUUCAAGACCAUUGCAAAUGAAAAAUGAAUACUGAUUGCUGAGUAGGGAGGUAAUAAGAACACCAAAUUAUAAAGGCAUGAUAACUAAUCAACCUUCUGACUACAGUUCCUGUACAAACGUUGUUAGUGUUAAAUCAAAUUAUGCACCAACAUGGAAAAGCUAAUGAAUUUUCAGCUCUUCGUAGGCCAUGCCAAAAAAACACUUUAGCAAAUGGAGUUCAUAUUUACCUCGUUUCUGUUUCAACACUGCACUCCAGAUCAAUUAUACAGUUUUUCACAUCUUCAUGAGCCUGAAAUAAAGCUUGUCAUCAAUAUCAACUAGAAAUUUCGAUUGAAAAGAACAGGUAUGAUACUUUAUCAUUUUAGUACUAACUUUCUGCCCACGAUGAUUAAACUUGUCGAAUUUCCCUAUCUUCAUUCUUCUACGACUACUUGGGCAGGUAGAAGUAAUAUGCUCCUCAUUCUCAGAAUUUGGCAACUCACUUUCUUUAUUGUUGCUAAUCCGCUCCUAAAAUGAAACCCAACAAUAAUGUACCGUGAUUUAUUGCCUGACCAUAAGUAUGUAAAGGAAGAAAUUAACACAGAAGAAGCAAGGACAAUAUGUUCCAGACCUUAAUGUGGCUGAAAAAGGAUUUCAGCUCCUCCAUAGACUGUUCAAAGUUAUCAAAUUGUUUAAUGGAUUUUCUUAGCCACUUAGAAAUGUAAGUCCUGUUCCUCUCUUCCUGGAAACGCUCAUCUAUUUGCCCAAAAUAAAAGAAAGGGUGAAGAGCUAUGGGAGAUUUGUGUUAAGAAAUGAGUCUACAGUGGAAAGUACUCUUUUAAGAAAUAACAAGGAAAUUUUAGAUUUAUCAACAUGAAUAUAAGAAAUACAAUAUUGAAACCAUAGAACUAGUUAAAAUGUUACGGCCAAGGAAUGACAGUGAUAGACCCCCGAUAUUAUAUCAGUAAAGUAGGAGAGAGAAAGAAGUAACACGUGUGUGUAACACGUGAGGGAUAAAAUGAGGUUUAGAAGUUAGUAUAAAUAAAGGCCAAUAGAGGGGCGGGAAAGUUAGUUAAGAUUUGAGUAAGGAGAGAGACUUUCACUGUUCUUCCUUGAAAGAGAGGUUAACAAUAGAAGUGAGGAGAGACUGUAAUCAGAUUCUAUUUCCAUUCACUAUCAAUAAUAUUACAUUCAUAUUACUACCUAUGAUUUCCAUCAGGCAGCUUCCAAGCAAGUUUUGGAGGUCUUGUGUUCGAGUUAAAUGGCUUGAUUUCUUCCUCUAACCAGCACAAACAAUCAUGCAUACAGCCUGACCAGUGAAGCUCGUAUUUUUAAUAGACAAUAGAAGAAGUGAAAUUAAAGAAUUAUUACCUAAUAGCAUAAUGGCACCAUAGUCAAAUUUGUGUCGAAUACAACGUCCUACAGAAAGAAAUUGUUACAAAUUAUAGCAAGGUUAUUUGCAUGAUGCCACUCCACAUGAGCACCAAGAAAAUGAAAAUAAAUAACAGCUACAAGCUAUACCUGCAGCUUGAUUUAGAGCUCGAAAGGCCUGUUGACAAUACCACUCGUUUCCACUUAAAAGGUUUUUGGACAUUUUAUAUGCGUCAUUGAACUUUUUCUUCAAUGCAACUUGAAUAUCAUUUCUGAAAGGAAUUAUAAACAAAUAAUCAAAAUAUUGUAUGGUAUAUUUUCUUUCCAAAAAAAAUAAGUUAAGGAUAAAGUUCUUACACAUUUGGAAAUGGAAUACCAACUAUUAUCUGAAUAUGUUAGUUAAGAAUUUCUAUAAAUAUAAAUAAAAAGCAAAUGUUCAACUUCACUGACACUGACUUCAUGACUUACAAGUCAAAUUCAUUCAUAAUAUGACAACGGACCCAAGGCAAUCUCCAACACUAGGAAAGAUAGAUGAUGCUUAAAAGAGGAAAGGAUACAACCACUCUAGCAUUAUCAUCAGAAAAGUCUAUUCCUUCUGAAACCUGCAAGUACAACAAAGCAAUUUAGGAUAUGUAAAUCACAUUAUAACAUCAAUUCAUGGAUCUUUUUAUUUUAAGAUCUAAUUAGAUAUUUAAACGUCUUAGUUUAAUUUUCAAGAACCAAGCUGAGGGUCAUACUGAAACUGGCGACUUCUUCUUAUUGAAGAUCAUUGCUAAAUGAAGUUCUUACAUAUUUCUUAACAAGAGGAAAAGAAAAGAAAAACAUAUGAUGCGUGCAAAACUGCAAGCUGCAUAUAAACAUUCGUAGUUGUUUUGAGCCGUCAGGACAACAAGGUUUAUCAUUGCCAUUAAGAAACAUGGAAAAGCGGUUGAACAUCAAGUAAUCAAAAGGAACACACCUUUCCUCGAAAAACUGCAAGGAGUGCUGCACCCUCCUUGGGAUUUUCACAGCCAACCACAUACGAGUCAUUGGGUUUGACCUUCUUGCCUCGACUCUUUUUCCCAAUUGCAAAGUUAUCACCAAGACGUAUAGUAUCAUAAUAACCUUUCAAUAUGGAAUCAAAAUCCUCUUGAGCUCCUCCUCUUGGCUCUGUACAAAACCAUUGAAAAGAUUUGAAUUCUUAAUGCAACAUGCAGAAAGAAAAAGAAAAAUUAAUAAAUAUAGGUACGCAAGAAACAUUAUAUAAUUCAACUCGUCUCGAAUGACAAAAUACCAGCAAAAUAUAUAUACACUAGCCUAAAAUAAGUUUUCCAGUGCGUAUCUUACCAACAAAAAGGGACUUCCUUGCAUUCAGUCGAGACCAUUGGCCAGUUUCAGACCAACGAUUUUGGAGUUUCUCCAUCAGCUUAUAACUGGGGAAGAACACAAGACAGCCACCAGGAGCGAUGAAAAAUAUCUCCUCUAAUGAUUUUCCUAGAGCAUCCUUUAAGAAAAUGGCCAGUAUAAGACAAGAAAAACCUAACAUAUAAAUUUACAUCGAUCACGAAGUUCCAAAAAUACCUGGAAUGCAUAUCCAUCAGCUGUUUUAUAACUUCCAUUCAGCGGAUAGUUUCCUGGACCAGUUGAUAUAACAGCUGGCCACACCUGCAGUACAAUUGUUGAUAGGUCAAAAUUUAACAGUUGCUGGAAUGGAAAAACCAGAAAUAAGAAAAGUCCACUUGAACCUGAGAUUCCACAUCAAUCACGUGAGGAGCUUCCAGUGAAGUUCCAAACUGAACUCCUAGUUCAGAUGAAAAGGAAUUCAUCGGUGACAGGGUCCUAAUUAUUUGAAAUCAGAAAUGAUUAAUUGUCUUCUUCGGCACAUAUAUAAUAUACCUUACCAAAAGAAAAUGUAGGAAAGAGAGAAAGCACUGUAAAAUUUAAAGAAGCAUCUAAAUUUUCAUACUUUCAAGCGUCAACUCAAUAUAGUCUAGAAAUCUGCUAAACAACCAACUUAUAGUCAAUCUAACAACUCUAAUCAUUGAGAAACUGCAGGUUUUAUUCUUCCAAAAGAAGAGGAUAUGUUAAAAUUGAAUUUAACAUGGCUGAAGAGCAUGGCUGUAGAAGCCAAGAAUGAAGAUAUUUUAUAGACUGCAUAAACUAUAUGAUACAUCAUAUUCCACUUUUCAAGUUUAUGUGCUCACCCAGAUGUCAAAAUAACCGAUAAGGAAAGAUCACUAAUGUCUCUAAAUACAACAGCUGGAUUCAAGCACCACAAACUUAAAGUAACCGUCCAUUCAGCAUAAGCUUUUCCUGAAAUAAAAUACAAAUAUAAUUUUGUAAAAAAAAAUUGUUUGUACAAAUAAACAAAAAAAAAAAAACUAAAACCAUUUCAAACUAAAAAAAAGGUGACAAGAGUUUUCUUUCUUAUUCUCAAGGUAUAAGAUCCAGUGAAAACUGUCUUCUCUUGAAAAGCCUAAUAGCAAGUCAGUUAUAGUCUCCAGAUAACAUCAGACAAACUAAUUAAAAAAAGGUAACAGAACUAUAACCAAUGGCUGAAAGUUAUGACAAGCUGUGAAUUAAGAAGACUGAGCAACUGAUUACCAGGAUCUCUUUUAAUGUAGCGUUGUAAUGCAAGCUGGUAGUCAGACAUGUGGCAACCAUUUCUUGAGAAGAAAUAUGUCAGUGAAGAGAAUAAUCCUGCAUCGUAUAAAUUGGUCAACGUCGAAAGUUUGAUAUAAAAAUAAAGCAAAUGUUGCACAUAGUAGUCUCUUACCUUCCAGUGUUAUCACUGACAGGCCACUCAAAUGUGCAUCAUCUGACUCGGUAUCUGAAGCUGCUUUAAUAGCCUUAAACAAGCAUACAGUGAAACUUCAAGGUAAUGAGAAUAAAAUGAAAGGUCCCCCAAAUAAUUCAAAGAACCCAACAGAAUCAGGAUACCUUUGUUGCACAUUCGAGCAAAAUGGGGAAGCAUUGUUGAGUUAUAUUAGCUUCUUGGAGCUCCCUUUGAGCAUGAUUUCCAGUCCAACUACAACAUUCAUAAACGUAGAAAUGGAAUAUCUCAUAGACCUAUGUUGUCAAACUGAUACCAACUACUAGAGAGGUCGAAUGCACCAUUUUUAGAAAAGAGUAAGUCAGACAUGCAUGUUUAUUGAAGGGCUCAAAGUGUGAAAAGAAACACAUUUAAUCUGAAAUCUAUACCCAAAAUGUUUUAAAUGCACAAUCUACACCAAGAAAUUCAGUUUAAAUCAAUUUCGUCCAUGGAUCAAAGAAUCUUGAAUGAGAAAAAGUGAAUUAUAUGAUAUUAUGUUCUAAAUACACCAAUAUAAUGCAAAGAAAAACUAUAUGCAACUAAGAAAUCAAAUGCUACAGCAAAACCAGUAAGAUUUUCUUUCUUCACUCACCAGGUGACAUAAUGCUGAAACUCGCGCUUUUGCAAUGUGGUCUUCCUCUGGUCAAUCCAACUUGUGAGAUCCUAAAAGUUCAGUUAGACUUCUAAAUAUCAAAAGAUCUUCUGAGAUGUUUGCAAAUAAUUCUAAUUAAUUAUACUAAUUACCUGUGUCAUUUCAUACAGAGGCUGGUAAACCAAAGAAUCAAUAGGACAUAGGUCCUCCAACUCCAUCUGCAAUUCUUUGAAAGAUGUGAAAUGCAAGCCAUGAGAAAAUAUUUUUCUCAACUCAUCAAACAAAAUAGUAUAAUUUCAGUGACUUACUAUUUAAAGUAUCCUCUUCAAUAUCCACACUACCACCAUGACGUGCAAUAUCCUCUAUAUUGCUGAAAAGUGAAAACAGAAUAAACUAAUUAAUUGUCUGCAUUUGCCACCUAUCUCAUGAACUUACCAUCAAACUGAGGUAAAAGGAAACACAUAAUGUAUGGAUGCUAGUACACAUACUGGGCUUCAUCAAAGAUCACGAUUGCACCCUUAAUAUCUACAUCCAUUGCUCCUCGAAUAACUGGAUUGAUAAUAUAGCUAUAUGGGCAAAACACCAGCUGCGCGUCGUCUGCCAUAGAGCGAGCUGCAUAAUAUGAACAACCUAAAGAGGAUAAAGAAAUUAAGUUAAAUAAGUGAUGACAACAUAAGACAGGUUAAACACCUAAAAGAUCAAGGAUUAACCUUUUACAGCUUCUCCAACUUUCACCAAAUCUUCAAUGUCAUGAACCUCAUGACAUCCUCCUUUCUGAAGAGUUGGAUGACAUUUAACCUUGUUUGCGUUUCUUUUAGAGAAAUGAAAAGUAUUUAUCUUCCUUUGUUGAUCGCCUUAAGUCAAGUAAUAAUUGAGAGAAAUAAAUUGAUGAAGAAAUGGGAUAAAGAUAACUCACUUAAAUUCACUGCAUCCUGCAAUUUGAUCCUUCAAAAGUAGUUUGCUGGUAGAGUACAACAAAUUUUACAGUGAAAAGGAGAAUAUAAAAUGAAUUAACUGGAAAAAGACAAAGAAAGAAAGAAAAAGGUGCCUUUAAGAGAAAUAUGCACCAUUCUUCAUCCAAAUUAUCUUUUCCUCGUACAUAAGGAUUUGUGCAUAGAUGUUUCCUUGAUGCCUGAUGAUAAGAAGGGGGUUAGUAAGAUAACAGUAAAGUAUAACCUAACAAGGACCACCCAGAAAUGUAUUGCAGCUGAACCAUAUCUGACAGGAGAGGAAGUCAGGGGAUUCUUACAACCCAAAACCAGCUAAUUCAACUUCUCAAAUUUCUUCAAUGCAUAAUCUCAUACAAUAUGUACACACACACACGUGUUAAAGCGGUGACAUACCAACACUGCCAUUGGCACUCGAUAGGCAGUUUUCCUAUACUCACGAAUCACCUGUGAUAUCUGUGAAUGUGUCCUCCUUGAAUAAGAAAACGUAAAGCAUUAGCAUCAAAUGUAGAUGACAAAAAUAAUUUUCCAAGCCCUUGUUUCAAAUUGCAGUAAGUUGAACUUACGAGGCGUAGUAUAUAGUCGGGGCUGUUUUUUUCUUCUGACUUUUGUUGUUUGGCCCUGGAAGAGACGACUCAGUAUCUGUAGACAGUAGAAAACCCAACAUAUUCCUCAGAAGAAGUAACUGGCCCAUAAAACACAAAAAGCAUAAAAAAUCAAAUAUAUGUUAUAAGAAAGAAAGAAAAAAGUGAGUAAGGUUAAUCUAUUGUCAGCUGAGGUUCUUCCAUCAGAAGAAAUUUCAGUACAAAUGACAAAGAGCCCCAUGUAAAAGAAAAGCUUCCGAUCAUCCGCAUUUCACAAUGGCUAUUUUUCAGUAAUCGUUUAAAAGAUGAUAUUCCAUGGUAAAUAGAAGAAAAACAAUUUGUUCCAACCUUAGUGUGCCCACGUAUUAUUUCACUCUUUCUCAACGUUAUCCGUCCAUAAAAAGAAAAGGCAAAAAGAAAAAACCAACCAUCCCAAGAUCAAUUAACCGUCCAAAGAGGUAGCGAUUUUAAGAUACUUAACACUUUUUGUUGCAAGCGAUGCGCAACGAAAUAUAUGUCGUCCUAAGCUAUUGCCCUAAAUAUAAUAUCCUCACGGUAUAAGCCUGAAGAGCUCGCAAGGGGAACCCAGUAACACAAAAAUAAAAAUGUCCAUGAACUUUAAACCAAUCUUUUCUAUGUCUCUACCUGACCACUCAAUUGAAUUCGUGCAUUCGAGAUGUUCGGAUAAUCAGGGUAAAGACAUGCAAACUUACUUGGCGUCUGCACUUCGGGAAUGAAUCCACCGCCAAAACCGAGAGGAUCUGUGGCAGCCUCUGGAGCAGCCUUCGUGUGACAGGGAUUAGCAUCCGGAUUCUUUAUCUUGUAAUUCUUCUGCCAAGCAAGACUAGAGCAGAGAAGUGAAAGUGACUUCCCGGUUCCAGUCGGAGAUUCCAGCAACGCGUGGCAAUGGCCCUCUCGCUGAGCUCGAUCAAGGGUGGAUAUAACUCUGCCCAUGAACGCAAGCUGCGAACCGUAUGGUCGGAAUGGAAAUUCCACUUGGAUGCCACCAAUCGGGUAAACAUUCUUCGUGAGCUGAUAAGUUGGAUUGGGCUUGGAUUUGGGGUUCGUCCCCCCUUUUGCAUAUACCAUUUUGGCAGUGUUGCACAGGACUUGCCGGGUGGGAAUAUUCGAACUCCUUGAGAGCUACCUAGCUUGGUAAACUACACGAUCGACGAUGGAGUUCUGUGAUGGGUUCGAUUUGGUGGUGGUUUCUUGGAAAGCUUUGGCGGGAAAAGUUAGGGUUUAUCGUACUUGAAAUUGGCGGUAAACAGUAUAAUUGGUUCACCUUGCAAUGAACGGUGAGGCUCUUGUUUGAAAAGACUCUUCUGUCCUUUGUGGCCAACGUCCGUAAAGGUUACCGUUUAGGCCGAAUUGAAAUCGUUUCUUUCUUUUUCUUUGGUAAUGCAACCGAUGAUUUGGUACCAUUUUUAAGAUAAUUAAUAUUUGGAAACAUUCUAUUUAAAAUAGUAAAAUAAAUUAAAAUAUUUACAAAUUAUCGGAAAAUUUUAGAUUUUAUUGGAUAAAAUUCGUUAUAGAUUAUAAAUAUUUUUUAAAAAAAUUAAAUAUUUAAUUAAGAUAUAUCUUUUAAUGUCUUAUUUUCAAUUAUACCUGUAAGCAAUCCAAUUUUCAAUCGAGUUUUUUCCUCCAUGAGGAGAAUAUCUCAAUUUUCUCGAUUUCAAUAAAAUUUAUAGAAAAAAUUGAUAGUUUAAGAAAUAGUACCAAAUUACUAUUUUUAUUUGAUGUGCUUGCAUUGACAUUUACACAUGUAUUUUGGGUAUAACAUAUAAGACUACUUUAUCGAUUUGUAGUGAAAAUUGGAAUAAUAAUGAAAUUUCAUUAGUAAAUCAAUUCCAAUAAACGGUGAAUCACAAACACAAUUCAUUGUUUUGGAUUGCUUUUACCUAAAAAGAUGAGUUUUAUCAAAUUUAAUAUUACCAUUGUGGUUUAGGUUAUGUUAUAUGGUUAUACAAAUCAUAACAGAAACGGUACCAAAAAAGAUUAAUUAUAAUAUAUAGAGUAUAGCUUGUGACAAUAAUUAAAAAGAUGAUACCUUUCAAAUAAAUAUAAAGCUUAUUCUAAUUAUAAUCAACACUAUGAUCAGAAUUUAAAAGAAAAUACAUACAGAAAUAUUGAUUAAAAGAUCAUAACGUGAUUUAUUGUUUGACCAUAGGCAUGUAAAGGAAGAAAAUAACACAGAACCAAGGAAAAAUGUGGCUGAAAAGGGAUUUCAGCUCCUCCAUAGACUGUUCAAAGUUAUCAAAUUGUUUAAUCGAUUUUCAUAGCCACUUUGAAAUGUACGAGAGAGAUCAUGAAGCUAAACCCAAAACACUAAAUUCAAAAAAUUUCCAGUUUGAGAUCAACAAUCAUACUCUCGAUAAGGCAUGGAAAUUGUGUUAACAUUAUUGAUAGAGGGAAUCUACAAUGCUGUCCUAGCUAUAACAACAUGAUAGCAUGACAAAACAACCAUGCAGAAACUAUACAGAGGGAUUCACAACCCGGAAACAAAAGAUCGAGAUAAAUAUGCAGUUAACUUUACAAUAUUAGUACAAAUGAUCAUAGAUUAAGAGAUUUUUUCGUCCAGACGCACACCGACUCUUCUACCUUAGCUGCAUUCUUUGAAUGGUGAGUUUGACCGAUAGAAAUUGCCAGAUCUCCCAUUAUAUCAUCAUGUAAACAUCCAGGCGAUCUUAUUAGCUUGGUCAGCAGCCCAGGACAGUGGUUAAAUUAAGCCAAGCAGAAUGCAUCUAGACGAGUACUUCAUGAAGUUCCUUUCCUUCUGACUUUCAAUUUAGUAGACCUCCAGCCGCCUGAGGUAAGUGGGCUAGCGGAGUAAGAAAACUUUUAAAUGGGUUCCAUGACAGGCAUACUUAUUCUUAGUUGAGCUACUAGCGGAUGAUACUUCCUGCAAUAAAAUUUGGAAAUCAAAGACAGCUAUCAUACUGAUUUUAGUUCAUGCCACAGUAACUAGUUAAUUAACCUUAAUUUCUCAUUAUAUCACAAUCGUUUACCUUGUUUAAUCAAGCCUUUCCUGUAGCAGCUUGGAGCUGAGGUCUUGGAGCCGAGGUCUUGGAGCUGAGGUCUUGGAUCUCCAAACACCCCACGAAAAACAUCACCUGCAAAAUGAGGAGACGAGAAAUGUAACCAAAAAGAAGUUGUGGAUAAAACUGUCGUGAUAAAGUAUGAGAUGUUGAAAAUAAAAAAAAAAAAUCCAUAUUCAUCUUCUUGAAAUAUUAGAACUGAAUAACAUGUACCUUAUAAAGUAACGGUAUAUUUGAUGCAUUAGUUGCCAUGAUCUGUACACCAAUACAAUUGUCACUGAAACAGAAGGGGCAAAAGACUUAAUUGUAUACACAACCAUCCUCCUCACUCCAUAUACCACAUGCUGAAUUUUUCGAAGACCUAACUAGGAGUCUCUGGUUAAUAAACAAGAUGUCUGUAAUAAUAAGCUGUAUACUUGCAGACGAAUUGGCAGUUUGAGCUUUAAACCUUUCCUUAUAUAUCGAUAUUAAGUGUGUUUUUGAUGAUACAGUAAAUGAGCACGUUAUGUUUAAGUGGUUCUCUGGGCGACCGAGUGGGUUUCUACAAAGUGCACAAGAUAGAUGCAACUUUUUGUCCUUCGAAGGCCAGGUGACAGAAAAACAGGAACAGUAUCAUUUAGCUUGGGCACUUGUGUGACAUUUAAACUGUUAAACUUCUUCUGUGAGAAGGAUUUCAUCACUAGUAUCUUUUGGGCUAGUCAAAUUUCCACUGAUUGCUGAGCUUCUGUCCACACUGUUACAUUCGUGAUUUUUGGUUUUGGGAUCAGUAACAAACUCUUCUUGAGAAAUAUCAACUGUACAGUUUUUCACAUCUUGGUGACCCUGAAAUAAAGCUUGUCGUCAAUACCAACUAGAGAUUUCGAUUGAAAAAAACAGGUAUUGUACUUCAUUAUUUUAGUACUAGCCUUCUGCCCACGAUAAUUAAACUUGUCAAAUUCCUCUAUCUUCGUUCUUCUACAACUACUUGGGCAGGUAGAAGUAAUAUGCUCCUCAUUCACAGAUUUUGGCAACUCACUUUCUGUCUUGUUGCUAAUGCGCUCCUAAAAUGAAACCCAACAAUAAUGUACCGUGAUUUAUUGCCUGACCAUAAGUAUGUAAAGGAAGAAAUUAACACAGAAGAAGCAAGGACAAUAUGUUCCAGACCUUAAUGUGGCUGAAAAAGGAUUUCAGCUCCUCCAUAGACUGUUCAAAGUUAUCAAAUUGUUUAAUGGAUUUUCUUAGCCACUUUGAAAUGUAAGUCCUGUUCCUCUCUUCCUGGAAACGCUCAUCUAUUUGCCCAAAACGAAAGAAAGGGUGAAAAGCUGUGGGAGAUUUGUGCAUUAAAUAACCUCAUGACUCUACCAUGGAAAAUACUCUUUUAAGAAUGACAAGGAAAUUUUAGAUUUAUCGACAUGAAUAUAGGAAAUACAAUAAUGAAACCAUAGAACUAGCUAAAAUGUUGUGGCCAAGGAAUGGCAGGUUCCAAGCAAGUUUUGGAGGACUUAUGUACGAGUUAAAUAGCUUGAUUUACCCAGCACAAACAAUCUUAUAGUUAAUAGGCAAUGGAACAAGUUAAAUUAAGGCAAUUAUUACCUAAUAGCACAAUGGCACCAUAGUCAAAUUUGUGUCGAAUACAUCGUCCUACACAAAGAAAUUGUUACAAAUUAUAGCAAGGUUAUUUGCAUGAUGCCACUCCACAUGAGCAACCAAGAAAAUGAAAAUAAAUGACAACAGCUACAAGCAAUACCUGCAGCUUGAUUUAGAGCUCGAAAGGCUUGUUGACAAUACCACUCAUUUCCACUUAAAAGGUUUUUGGACAUUUUAUAUUUGUCAUUGAACUUUUUCUUCAAUGCAACUUGAAUACCAUUUCUGAAAAGAAUUAUAAAUAAAUAAUCAAAAUAUUGUAUGGUAUAUUUUUUUUCCCCAAAAGUAAAGUAAGGAUAAAGUUCUUACAUAUCUGGAAAUGGAAUACCAACUAUUAUCUGAAUAUGUUCGUUAAGAAUUUCUCUAAAUAAAUAUUAAAUGUUCAACCUUACUGACACUGACUUCAUGACUUACAAGGCCAAUUCAUUCAUAUUAUGACAAUGGGCCUAAGGCAAUCCCCAACACAAGGAAAGGUAGAUGAUGCAUAAAAGAGGGAAGGAUACAACCACUCUAGCAUUAUCAUCAGAAAAGUCUAUUCCUUCUGAAACCUGCAAGCAAAACAAAGCAAUUUAGGAUAUGCAGAUCAUAUUAUAAAAUCAAUUUAUGGAUCUUUUUAUUUUAAGAUCUUAUUAGAUCAUUAAAUGUCUUUUUUUUUCAAGAACCAAGCUGAGAGUCAUACUGAAAUUGGCAACUUCCACCUAUUGAAUAAUUGUUAAAUGAAGUUCUUACAUAUUUCUUAACAAGAGGAAAAGAAAAGAAAAACAUAUGAUGCGUGCAAAACUGGAAGCUUCAUAUAAACAUUCAUAGUUGUUUUGUGCCGUCAGGACAACAAGGUUUUAUCAUUGCCAUUAAGAAACAUGGAAAAGUAGUUGAACUUCAAGUAAUCAAAACGAACACACCUUUCCUCGAAAAACUGCAAGGAGUGCUGCACCCUUGGGAUUUUCACAGCCAAAAACAUACGAUUCAUCGGGUUUGACCUUCUUCCCAACUGCAAAGUUAUCACCAAGACGUAUAGUAUCAUAAUAACCUUUCAAUAUGGAAUCAAAAUCUUCUUGAGCUCCUCCACAUGGCUCUGUACAAAACCAUUAAAAAGAUUUGAAUUCUUAAUGCAACACGUAGAGAAAAAAAGAAAAAUUAAUAAAUAUAGGUAUGCAAGAAACAUUAUAGAAUUCAACUCAUCUUGAAUGACAAAAUACCAACAAAAUAUAUAUACACUAGCCUAAAUAAGUUUUCCAGUGCGUAUCUUACCAACAAAAAGGGACUUCCUUGCAUUCAGUCGAGACCAUUGACCAGUUUCAGACCAACGAUUUCGGAGUUUCUCCAUCAGCUUAUAACUGGGGAAGAACACAAGACAGCCACCAGGAGCGAUGAAAAAUAUCUCCUCUAAUGAUUUUCCUAGAGCAUCCUUUAAGAAAAUGGCCAGUAUAAGACAAGAAAACCUAACAUAUAAGUUUAAAUCGAUUAUGAAGUUCCAAAAAUACCUGGAAUGCAUAUCCAUCAGCUGUUUUAUAACUUGCAUUCAGCGGAUAGUUUCCUGGACCAAUUGAUAUAAUAGCUGGCCACACCUGCAGUACAAUUGUUGAUAUAUAGGUCAAAAUUUAACAGUUGCUGGAAUGGAAAAACUAGAAAGUAAGAAAAGUCCAUUUGUACCUGAGAUUCCACAUCAAUCACGUGAGGAGCUUCCAGUGAAGUUCCAAACCGAACUCCUAGUUCAGAUGAAAAGGAAUUCAACGGUGACAGGGUCCUAAUUAUUUGAAAUCAGAAAUGAUUAAUUGUCUUCUUAGGCACAUAUAUAAUAUACCUUACCAAAAGAAAAUGUAGGAGAGAGAGAAAGCACUGUAAAAUUUAAAGAAGCAUCUCAAUUUUCAUACUUUCAAGCGUCAACUCAAUAUAGUCUAGAAAACUGCUAAAUAACUGACUUAUAGUCAAUCUAACAACUCUCAUCAUUGAGAACCUGCAGGUCAUAUUCUUCCAGAAGAAAGGAGAAUAUGUUAAAAUUGAAUUUAACAUGGCUGUAGAAGCCAAGAAUGAAGAUAUUUUAUAGACUGCAUAAACUAUAUGAUACAUCAUAUUCCACUUUUCAAGUUUUAUGUGCUCACCCAGAUGUCAAAAUAACCGAUAAGGAAAGAUCACCAAUGUCUCUAAAUACAACAGCUGGAUUCAAGCACCACAAACUUAAAGUAACCGUCCAUUUAGCACAAGCUUUUUCUGAAAUAAAAUAUAAACAUAACUUUUAUAAAAACUAUAUAUGUAAAAACAAACAAAAAAAAUUAAACUAUUUCAAACUAAAAAAAAGGCGGCUGAAAGUUAUGGUGGGCAGUGAAUUAAGAAGACUAAGCAACUGAUUACCAGGAUCUCUUUUAGUGUAGCGUUGUAAUGCAAGCUGGUAGUCAGACAUGUGGCAACCAUUUCUUGAGAAGAAAUAUGUCAAAGAAGAGAAUAAUCCUGCAUUGUAUAAAUUGGUCAAUGUUAAAAGUUUGGUAUAAAAACAAAGCAAAUGUUGCACACGGUAGUCUCUUACCUUCCAGUGUUAACACUGACAGACCACUCAAAUGUGCAUCAUCUGACACCGUAUAUGAAGCUGCUUUAGUAGCCUUAAACAAGCAUAUGGUGAAACUUUAAGAUAAUGAGAGCAAAAAGAAAGGUCCCUCACAUAACUCAAAGAACCCAACCGAAUCAGGAUACCUUUGUUGCACAUUCGAGUAAAAUGGGGAAGCAUUGUUGAGUUAUAUUAGCUUCUUGGAGCUCCCUUUGAGCAUGAUUGCCAGUCCAACUACAACAUUAAUAAACGUAGAAUAGGAUAUCUCAUAGACGGAUGUUGUCAAACUGAUAUCAACCACUAGAGAGGUCGAAUGCACCAUUUUUAGAAAAGAAUAAGUCAGAAUGCAUGUUUAUUGAAGGACUCAAAGUGUGAAAAGAAACACAUUUAAUCUGAAAUCUAUACCCAAAAUGUUUUAAAUGAUAAUCUACAUCAAGAAAAUCAGUUUAAAUCAAUUUCUUCCUUGGAUCUAAGAAUUUGGAAUAAGAAAAAGUGAAUUAUAUGAUAUUAUGUUUUAAAUACACCAAUAUGAUGCAAAGAAAAACUAUAUGCAACUAAGAAAUUAAAUGCUACAGCAAAACCUGUAAAAUUUUCUUUCUUAACUCACCAGGUGACAUAAUGCUGAAACUCGCGCUCCUGCAAUGUGGUCUUCCUUCGGUCAAUCCAACUUUUGAGAUCCUAAAAGUUCAGUUAGACUUCUAAAUAUCAAAAGAUCUUUUGAGAUGUUUGCAAAUAAUUAUAAGUAAUUAUACUAAUUACCUGUGUCAUUUCAUACAGAGGCUGGUAAACCAAAUAAUUAAUAAAACAUAGUUGCUCUAACUCCAUCUGCAAUUCUUUGAUAGAUGUGAAAUGCAAGCCAUGAGAUAUUGUUUUUCUCAACUCGUCAAACAAAAUAGUAUGAUUUCAUUGACCUACUAUUUAAAGUAUCCUCUUCAAUAUCGACACUACCACCAUGACGUGCAAUAUCCUCUAUAUUGCUGAAAAGUGAAAACAGAAUAAACUAAUUAAAUGUCUGCACAUGCUACCCAUCUCAUGAACUUACCAUCAAACUAAAGUAAAAGAAAACAUGUAAUGUAUGGAUGCUAGUACACAUACUGGGCUUCAUCAAAGAUCACAAUCGCAUCCUUAACAUCUACACCAAUUGCUCUUCGUAUAACUGGAUUGAUAAUAUAGCUAUAUGGGCAAAACACCAGCUGUGCGUUGUAUGCCAUAGAGCGAGCUGCAUAAUAUGAACAACCUAAAGAGGAUAAAGAAAUUAAGUUAAAUAUGUGAUGACAACAUGAGACAUGUUAAACACCUAAAAGAUCAAGGAUUAACCUUUUACAGCUUCUCCAGUUUUCACCAAAUCUUGAAUGUCAUGAACCUCAUGACGUCCUCCUUUCUGAAGAGUUGGAUGACAUUUAACCUUGUUUCCGUUUCUUUUAGAGAAAUGAAAAGUAUUUAUCUUCCUUUGUUGAUUAAUUUAAGUUAAGUAAUAAUUGAGAGAAAUAAAUUGAUGAAGAAAUGGGAUAAAGAUAACUCACUUAAAUUCACUGCAUCCUGCAUCUUGAUCCUUCAAAAGUAGUUUGCUGGUAGAUUACAACAAAUAUUACAUUGGAAAGGAGAAUAUCAAAUGAAUUAACUGGAAAAAGCAAACAAAGAAAGAAAAGAUGCCUUUGAGAGAAAUAUGCACCAUUUUUCAUCUAAAUUAUCUUUCCCUCGUACACGAGGAUUUGUGCAUAGAUGUUUCCUUGACGCCUGAUGAUAAAAAGGGGUUAGUAAGACAACAGUCCAGUAUAACCUAACAAGAACCACCCAGAAAUGUAUUGCAGUUAAACCAUAUCUGACAGGAGAGGAAGCCAGUGGAUUCUUACAACCAAAGUCAGCUAAUUCAAGUUCUCAAAUUCCUUCAAUGCAUAAUCUCAUACAAUACGUACACACGCACACACGUGUUAAAGAGGUGACAUACCAACACUGCCAUUGGCACUCGAUAGGCAGUUUUCCUAUACUCACGGAUCACCUGUGAUAUCUGUGAAUGUGUCCUCCUUGAAUAAAGAAAAUGUAUAGCAUUAGCAUCAAAUGUAAAUGAGAAAGACGAUUUGAAAAGAAAAAAAUCCAAGCCCUUGUUUCAAAGUCCAGUAAGUUGGAACUAACGAGGAGUAGUAAAUGGUCGGGGCUGUUUUUUUCUUCCGAAUUUUGUUGUUUGGCCCUGGAAGAGAUGACUCUGUAUCUGUAGACACUAGAGAACCCUUAAUAUUCCUCAGAAGAAGUUACUGGUCCAUAAAACACAAAGCAUAAAAAAGCAAAUACGUAUAUAUAUUUAAAUUUUUUUUUUAAAAAAAAAGUGAGCAAUGUUACUUUAUUGUUAGCUGACGUCCUUCCAUCAGUAGAAAUUUCAGUACAAAUGAGAAAGAGCCGCAUGUAAAACAAAAGCUUGCCAUCAUCCGCAUUCCACAAUAGCUAUUUUUCAUUAAGCGUUUGAAAGAUGAUAUUCCAUAGUGAAUAGAAGAAAAACAAUUUGUUCCAACCUCUGGGUGCCCACGUAUUAUUUCACUCUAUCUCAACGUUAUUCGUCCAUAAAAAGAAAAAAGAAAAAACCAACCAUCUUCAGAUCAAAUUAACCGUCGAAAAAGUUAACAGUUCAAGAUACUUGACAGUUUUUGUUGCAAGCUAUGCGCAACGAAAAUAUAUGUCGUCCAAAGCUACCCUAAAUACAUCCUCACGAUAAACAGUAAACCAUAAACCAAUUUUUUCUACGUCUCUACCUGACCACCUAAUCGAAUUCGUGCGUUCGAUAUGUUCGGAUGAACAGGGUAAGGACAUGCACACUUACUUGACGGCUGCACUUCGGGAAUAAAUCCACCGCCAAAACCGAGAGGAUUCGUGGCAGCCUCUGGAGCAGGCCUCGUGUGACAGAAAUUAGCAUCCUGAUUCUUUAUCUUGAAAUUCUUCUGCCAAGCAAGACUAGAGCAGAGAAGUGAAAGUGACUUCCCGGUUCCAGUCGGAGAUUCCAGCAACGCGUGGCAAUGGCCCUCUCGCUGAGCUCGAUCAAGGGUGGAUAUAACUCUGUCCAUGAACUCCAGCUGCGAACCGUAUGGUCGGAAUGGAAAUUCCACUUGGACGCCACCAAUCCGGUACACAUUCUUCUUAAGCCGAUAAGUUCGGUUGGGCUUGGAUUUAGGCUUCCUCCCCCCUUUUGCAUAGACCAUUUUGGCAGUAUUACACAGAACUUUUCGAGUGGGGUUAUUCGAACUCAUUUUGAGCUACCUAGCUUGGGGAACUACACGAUCGACAGUGGAGUUGUGUGCUCGGUUCGAUUUGAUGGUGGUGGUUUCUUGAAAAGCUUUGGCGGGAAAGGUGAGGGCUUAUCGUACUUGAAAUUGGCGGUAGACAGUAUAAUUAGUUCAUCUUGCAAUGAACGGUGAGGCUCUUGUUUGAAAAGACUCUUCUGUCCUUUGUGGCCAACGGCCGUAAAGGUUACCGUUUAGGCCGAAUUGAAAUCGAUAUUUUUUAAUAUCGAUACUUUCAUAAUAUUCACCUAAAAAAUAGCAAAUUAAAUUAAAA